UUUUUCCCCCUGUUUGCGGAUGUGAAAUUGUAGUUUCAUUAUCAGAACUAAAAUCACUGUUGGUGCAGGGUUUAAAUUACGUUGCAGCAUUAUUGUUGCUUGUAAUGAAAACAGAAGAGGAUGCUUUUUGGAUGCUGGCUGUCCUGUUGGAAAAUGUUUUAGUUAAUGACUGCUACACAAAUAACUUAUCGGGGUGCCAUGUUGAACAAAGGGUGUUUAAAGAUUUACUUGCUAAGAAAUGCCCAAGGUACUCUCACUUCUAUCUGUAGCAAUUUUGCUCUGUUUUUUGCUUGGCUUUUGGUAUUCUUUAAUUACCAGAAAAAGAAAUAUCCAGGAUAGCUGCUCAUUUGGAAGCUUUGGAGUUUGAUGUCUCCCUGGUUGCCACUGAGUGGUUUCUAUGCCUUUUUUCUAAGAGCUUGCCUUCUGAGGUUAGAACAAUAACCUGUAAUUGUAAUGCUUGUCAUUUCCAUUUGUGGACCUCGUUUUGCAGACAACUCACACACACACAAACCCACACACACAUUCACCCAUUCUUGUGAAACUCCUCAUUUUCCAACAUUGGCCCCCAUUUUGCAGACAGCUCUGCGGGUGUGGGAUGUCCUUUUCAAUGAAGGGGCAAAAGUUCUAUUUCAUGUUGCUUUGGCUAUCUUUAAGGUGACACCAUCUUGCUUUUUGUAUGUUAUUUGUAUUUUACCUAUUGUCCUUCUAUACAUGUAUUGAAUAUUGUUUCUUUAUUAAAAUUCCUGAAACAAUGAACAUCAGCAAGAUAGAAGGCCAUCUAAGCUGUGAUUGGUGAUUGCAGAUGAAGGAAGAGGAGUUGCUUCUAGCACAUCAGGUUGGGGAUGUAAUUAAUAUUUUACAGAAAACAACUCAUCACCUCUUCGAUCCUGAAGAAUUGUUGACGGUAAGAAAAAUAUCUCAUUAGACUCUCCUUUUCUAUAUAGAUGAAUCUUUGUGGUUUGCUUACCAUAGCAUUUGAAGUUGUCCUUCCAUUAUUUGGAAGUCGCUACUGGAGGGGAAAAGGUCAAAAACCUUGCUUUCUUAUAAUAAAAUUUGAAAUGAAUUCCUUUCCCAAUAGUGGCCAAACAUCCCCUUUGCAUCUUUACUUUUACCUCUUCUCAGUAAUCUUUGCCUGUGCCGAUCAUCUAAUUCCUGUUUUAUAUCAGUUUAUCAAUGUAAAUAAGGCUUCUCUUAACCAAUUCUUGUAGGUGGCUUUUGAUAAGAUUGGUUCUAUGACAACCAACACCAUAUCAAAGCAAAGGAAAAAGCAGGAACCAGCAGUCAUGGCAGAGCUUGAUCAAAGAUUGAGACGGUUAAACUCUCUAAACGAGGAUGACAAAUAGCUUAUCAAACUGUAAAAUAUAUCAGACGUCCUGGAUGGGGCCUGCUUGACCCUCUGGAGGAUGAUAUUAAAUUAUGUUUUUGUACCCAUGUGAAGCAAUGACCAAGUGAAGAGAGCAUUUGUUGUUUUAAAGAAUGAUGUAGGUGAUAAAUGUAAAUUUUGUACUGUUACCUCGGUACAGUCAAUCACAAGGCAACUUGGGGUAUUGCCGGAUUUCCAUGCCCUGUAAUUUUGGCUUUUAUGUUGUAUCCUGCCUUGAGUUGUUCCUGGGACAGAACUAAGCUUUGGACUGCUCAACAUUGUUUUAUUGCUCAAAGAAGCAUAAUAGUUUCUAAAGCAUUCCAAUUUUCACUUUCUGACUUCUUGGUUAAGCCUAACAGCAAUCAAUUGCUUGACCAAAAUCUGUAUUCCAAUUCAGGGAUAAUGCUGAUGGGUUUUUGUUGUUGGAUUGCUUCUCACUAACCUAAUUGGCAGACUAAAAGUCUAGUUCAGUUGUUACAGAGGAAACCUCAACACAUGGUUUGUCCUUACUGGUUAUUCUUCAAAUUUUAUGGCAUAUGCCGUCACAGCCAGUUCACGUAUAGGGAAAUAUGGGAAAGAAAGGUCCAAUAUGGUUGAACACAAAUCAAGGGCAUGUCCUUUUGCUAGCAUAUACAACUCAUGAACCAGAUAAACUGAGCGGUUAAUAGACUACGUGAGAGUAUUUUAUAUUGAUGGUAUUGCAGCAUUUUUGGCUAUAUAAGCAUUAUCUCUUCAAUUAAAAUUAACUAGACGAGGCAAUAGUGUAGACUAUUCAGUAAGUUCAGUAGAUACAGUUAUCAAAUAGUGUCCCUGUAAUUGAAAAUUAGGUCAUAUCAGAAACUAUCCAGUAAGUUAGCUAGAUGAAGUCUAAUUCCGGGUGGUGUAGAACAGGAGAAGAACUUGAGAAAUCAGCAGGCCAGGCCCUGGAGCAGCAUAACUAACACUUUUUUCACUUAGGAGGCCUAUAGUUACUUGGCAUCAUAUGAUUUAACUGCCCUGAUUGAGGUCCAUCUAGCUGCAUCGAUGAGUAGUUCGCCCUGGGGUAGGAUGAUUGGGCCAUGGGUGCAGGAGCAUAAGGGAGUGAACCAACAUGGUAAGAGUCAGAACCUUGAUUAGGUAAAAUGAACCCUUGAGAUGGAAGAUCAUGGUUUUGUCUGUUGAGCGGGAGGUGUGUGCUUGUAUUUGUCUCAGACCUUUGCUUAUCUGGCUCAUUUUUGUAAGAUGCCCCAACAGAAGUACCGACACCAGGAUUGAUGUACCCAUGAAACUGAUUAUGACUAUUGAAACCAAUAUUGGCUCGGGUUGACAGUUUAUGAGUUUCUCUAGGAAAUGGUUGUUGAUUCAUCAAACUUUGUCCAUCAGUGUCACUUGAAAUACUGGCCCUGAUUCCCACAUAAUUUUUUUUAAACCCCAACUUAUUUCCCGAGAGCCUUCUCUGGAGAUUUCCAAAGCCAAUUUUUCCAACUUCAACUGCUUCAUAUGCCUUGUCCUCCAACAAACUUUGGAAGUCUGUGCAGUCAAAUGCAGAAUUAACUGGAGAUGAUAUUUCCAUGUCAAUGCACAUUCCAUCAACUUUAGGCUCUGUCUCACUGUUGCCACUUUGCUCUAUUGAUGUCACAAUCCGGUCUACAUCCUCCUUUCCUUCACAUUCCUUCUUUAGUCUCUCAAUAGAAGGUCCCAUGUCACACUCAUCUUUCUUCAAAACUUCACUGCUUCUGUUACUGGAAGAAGGACCAAAAAACAACAUCCCAGUACCUUCAGGUUCACUUUCAUCAUUAUCUUCAGGAACAUUGUCCAAGAUGCUGGAGAUAUCACCAUAGUCAUUCAUUAGAUUGGAGAAAUCACCAUAACAGUCAUGAUUCUCCUCCAUUAGAUAAUUUGAGACUUCUCUUUCAACAUUAUUGCCUUCCACAAGAAAGUCCUUUUGCUCUAUGGAUAUGUGGCCACACUUUUGAGCCACUGCCUUGUGCCUAGAAGUCCAGUCAGGGCGACUCCAAAGAUAGAGCAAUGGUGGCAGUAAGUUCCAUUGCUCUAAUUGCUUGUCAUGCAUGUCAACAGAUCCAGGCAGGUAAAAUGACUGAAAAGAAUAAGAAUAAAUGGAGCAUUUCAGAGGUUCAUUUUACAUCUAGUAAGGUUAAUAAGAAUUACUGCUUCCCCAUGUACCUUUCCUGAUAGUAUAUCUUCAUCCUCCCAUAUUAAAUCAUAUGCAGAGUCUUUUUCAUCAAGUCUGGUAAAAAUGGAAAAGAAAUGUGUGAGACAGACACCCAACUAAAAGCAUAUGCAGAUACUUUUUCAUCAAGUCUAAUUAAGCAGAGAAGAAAUGUGCCCCCACAUGUUUGCUUGCAUGUGUUUGUAAGAGAGAGAACAUGAAUCAUUUACCUUUUGGUUUCUUUUGGAACGAUAAGAAUAAGGAGCUUUGGUCUAAAACUUAGUGCCUUGUCAAUGAACUUGUUGGCAAGAGAUGCUUUGACCCCAAAGGGAGGAUUAAGCCCCAUGAUCUUCUCACAAAGCAAUACAAAUAAAAAAGGUGAUGCUUCUGCAGAUGGGUUUGGAGAUACAAGCAUCUGAUUGAUUCAAUGACAAAUCUAUAAUCUCUUACCAGUUGAGAUCCUGCAGGUAGUUCAUCUAAAUGAAUGCUCAUCCAAUCUCUCUUCUCGAAACUGAAAUCAUUCUGCAAAAAUGAAUCCUUGAGAAUAAGGAAAAACAUAGCAGUGAGAAAAUGAGAGGGGAGGAAACAACAUGCCAGGAGAUUUUAAGCACAUCCCAGGUAAAGGACUUCUAUGCUUUUCUAUUAUUGUUUAAUGGAGAAUAAAACACCAAAUUAAUGACGUAAAACAAUGGUAACAACAAAUGCCUUGGCAUGCAAAGAUGAUAGGAAAAACCCUAAAUUAGACUGUUUACUUGCCCCUCUUUUGGGCAUCAAUUCUGAGUUUUCAGUAACCCGUUGAUCAAAAUCAGGCCAUGUUGGGAGCAGAAUUGCCCAAGUUGUGUCUUCAAGGAUCAAUCUUUUUUCCCUCUUACAGAAGGCAAAACGCUAAAAUACAAUAAUACAGUAGAUGAAUUCCUUCCUGAAUUUGGAAUAAUCAUUUUUACACAAACAAAUAAGAAUUGAAAUUGACACCAUUUGCAACCUCCCCCAGGAUAAUAAGAUUACAUCUGUAGCACAUUGAGAUUGAAGAAUAUACAAAAAUAAAGCAUACACAUACCAACAAAAUUUAUUAAGAAAAAAAUAUAGUUUCAGUCAACGGAUUAACAAACUGCCAUCAGAAUAUAGGCCCAGCAAAUUACCAAUAUAAGACUGAAUAUUUACCUUGGGUUGAAUAAGAUCAUAAUUUUUAAAUGAGCAGCUCUUUCCCACUUUGUCAAGCUUUUCUUUCAUCAAGCAACUAAAAUCAUUGGAACCACAGCAGAAGUCCACUAUCUGUGCAAGUAAUGCACCAUAAAUCAUAUAAGAAACAUAUGAUUAUAACAAAGUUGAUAAUUAUAAAAAGAAAAAGAAAAAAAGAAUAACACCACAAUCACCAACAACAACAAUGGUAAAUGUUAAUUUAAGCCAUGCAUUUCUUAAAAAAAUAAAAAAUAAAUAAAUAAAUAAAUAAAUCAGAGUUGAAUAAGAAAAAUGUACUUGGAAACUAGAAGAUUGGUGCAUAUUGAUACUGAUAAAACCAGAGUUACAUAAGAGAUUCUAAACAGAUAUGAAAGUAACUUGGCAAUUAUUUAUUUAUUGGAGAAAAAACCAAAAGUGAGAAAACUUAUCUGAGUAUAUAGAAAUUUGGAAAUGUACAUAUCCAAUAAAAAAAAAACUAAAUGUGCACUGCAAUACAAGCUCAUCAAUCAGUUUGGUGUUUUAAUGAAAAUGAAACCUAUAUUCCAAGAUGUUUCAUAUAAGCUUAUGACAGAAGUCAUGAUCUUGCAAUUGAGAGAAAGAGGGAGAGGGAGAUGAUCAAGCUGAAGAGUUUGAUCAAAUCACAGCUGGUCCCUUUAAUUGUGGGUCAAAAACUUUAGUUGGAGAUCUCAAACUUGUACAAUCAUGUUCACACAGUCCUAAUCUUUGACACAGUUAUCCAGCAUACCACUUGUUUAUCUUCCAUAACAUGUUUCAAACUUGAUUCAAUCAUGUUCACUCAGUCCUAAUUUUUAAUCCCCUUGAGCUAACUAAGAAUCAUAAAAAUAAAGAGCACCUAACAAAAAGGGGCACAACCCAAGUAUGCAGUAUGCAUACAGAGAACCACAUAGGAGAAGAGAAUGAAAAGAGUAUCAAAACAUAAAGAAAAGCAACACCCAAUCCAAAGUUCAAACCAUUACUAAAAUCCAACAAAGCGCAUAUCAAAAACAACUAAUGAAAUCCAACAAAGAACAAUUCACAAGCCCUAAGGGAACUAAGACCAAUCCAAAAGUGAUUUGAUGAAGCACUCCUCCUUCAAUCUCAAGUCAGAAAGCCCCUCUACUUAAAGUCUCAUUCUGCUGACUCCAAAUGCACCAAAACAAGCAAAAAAGAGCCAUCCUCCACACCUUCCUACUCUGCCUAUCCAGAACUGCACACCCCAUCCGUGUGGAAGAUACUUAGGAGACCAUGGGAAUACCCACUGAACUCCAAAUAAAGUGAGCAAGACAUCCAAAAUAACUGGCCUUUACACAAUGAAUAAGAAUGUGGUUUGCUGUCUCCCUGCCAGCUUUGGAAUUUGGAUAAGUUACACCUGUUUACAAAUGCCCCCUACACAGCUCUUUACACACAUACACACAAAAGAAAGAAAAAGACCAUGUCUUCAGAGGAGCACUUGACUCCAUGCUUCCUUUACAGUAACCCGAAUCUCACAUUCAGGAAAUAAGGAAUUAUAAAAGGACUUAACCAAGAAUCAUCCCUCUUUUACUCCUGAGCACAAGCUUGUCCUUUCCCUCUCCUUGAAAAAGCACAACAUGAGCGCAUUCCCGGAAGCAACCCACUGACUCUACCUCCCAAUCAUGACAGAUCUUCUGAAUACAAGGAUUAUAAUGCCCUGAGCCUCCAUCCAUCACCCACAAGUCUGUCACUCUAGCAUUUUUAAAUGUGGCAACGUAAAAAAGAGUAGGAAAUAUCUUUCAGCAGCCUCUCCCCACUCUGUCUGUCUGUCCAAUACUUAGUCUUGUAACAUACUCACUGCAAUUGAUGUUAUGAGCCUGAAGCCUUCUCAUCCCCCUUUCCAGAGAUCAACUCCAAAGACUUCCCCACUUAUCUAGUGCACCAACUGCCAUCAUUUCAUCUAACCUAUUUCUCCACAGGUUGUCUUGUUCCUCAGUGAAUCUUUAAUCAUUCAAAUUUUUUUCAGUUACUCCUAAUCAAAUUAUAUCUCUUUUUUUUUCUUUCUUAUUUUAACAAAUUUUUUCAUGAAAGAACCUUUUGAGAAAUCCUUUCAACAUCAUCUGUAAGUUUGUAACAUUCUUCAAGGUCCAUUUAUUUUAGCAGAGGUUACUUUGAAAUUCAUUUUAAUUUUCUUCAUCUACAAUCAUAGUUUUCUUGAAUUAAUGUUAGUUUAAAAGUAUUAAGUUAGAAACUGUUGACAAAUAAAAAUAAAUAAAUAAAUAAAGGAAGAAAGACAAGAGAGGAAAACUUUAUUCGAGGUCUAACUAUCGAGCACUUGAAAUUUUCCAUUGAUAUUCGAUUUGACCAUUUUUUUGAAAUAUACAUUGCAUCAUUUGAGUAAAAGGUUGUACCAUGUUAGCAUGCUGAUGUGGUACGACAGAAGUAGUGGAAACUCAUUCUUAGAAUGGUGGGUUACACUAGAAGGCACACUUAAUAUAUUUUAUCAUAUAGUUAAAUAGGAGAAGCAAAAAGAACAAGAACAGUUCUCACCAUAUCACCAUGUUGCACAUACCAAUGGAGCCUAUCAACAACCUGCUUAUUAGAAAAUCAAGCCAUUAGACUCAACCUAUGAUUUAUUGAGUGACUAUCUAAAUCAAAAUAUCAAUGAAGUAUUAUGGAUCUAAAAAAAACGAUAUAAUUAUAUGAUAGAUCAAACUAUAAUCAAAAUAACAAGAAUAAACUUCAGAAUCGGUUUCAGGGGUAAUGAACAGCACAGGUUCGUCACUUAUCUAGCAGUAGUUCUUCCAGAAGCAUACAUGAAAAAUUAGUAACAGGGUAUGGAUUCACAAGAGAAGUUACUGAUAAUAAAAGGUAGUCGUUUUCACUGGUUGGAAAUUCCAGAUGGAGAGAUGGUGAUUGAUCAUAUCUUGUCUUUAUACAUAGAAUUUUUAAAAGCCAUAUUUUCCAAUAGUGUGUCUGUUUGAGAUGGACUUCAAUAAUAGUUCAAAAAUGAUCCACUUCAACACCAUCUUUCUGCUAUCAGGAUGUAUGUGGAAAUAUGACUUAAGGUCAACUUCAUGGAAGGAUCCUGCUAUGGUAACUAGAAAAUUUGAAAUUUGUUCUAAACUUCUUUUUUGGCAGGCAUGGGGCGUGGGAGCCCCUUUAAGGUAUUCAAUGAAUGAAACAAAGUUUCUCUCAGCAUAAUGAAUGAUAUUGACCCAGAUUUCUCAUGUCUUGAGCCUGUGGCAUUUGAGAGUGGCUGUUUUCAACCACACUAAUAGAAUUACACACCAUUUCAUGAAAAUAAUCAUAAUCCAAAGGUCAUGCUUAUAGUUUUUGAGCUGACCAGGAAGCCCUUUUCACUGGCAGUGGAUAUAUUCUCUUCUAGUUUAGUUUUUAGAAGGCAACAGAUCUUGAAAUUCCGCCUCUUGGGUACGUGGCUUUCUGGUAGAGGCCAUUUACUCAAUAUCAAAACCAAUUGUUUAAAGUAAAACAUAAGAAGUGAUCUUACCUCCCUAAGUUUCUCCACUUUUGUGAAAUGACGGCCAAAGGAUGUGUAACGCAUGCCAUGCAGAAAAGGUGCAAGGUAAACUUUUAGCUUUCUCUACAGAAUGAAAGCAAGCGAUCAGUAAUCUGAUAAAGUAUGUUUUACGCAACUUUUUAACAGCAACAGAAAUCAGCUAAAUAACUAGUUUUGCUGGACUUGCGUGAUAGUUAUCAUUCUGCUUAUUAUAUAUAUAAUUAGUUUUGCUUCUUGUAAGUUCAACAAAGUAGUAAGCAUGUAACUGAAUUGUAGAUGAUCAGUAAAUCACAUGUUAAAUCCUAACAUAUUGGAGUUACUUCUGAUGCAGAGAUUUGAGCAAAUAGACAGUACAAUUCAUCAACAGAAAUCCUUCUGCAGGAUGCCACAAUAUAUUCCUUGUACAGAGGCAAAUGAAAAUAUCUAGUGCAAUAUAAGAAGAGGUUCACAAGAUCAUAAUGCAUAAGAAAGUACUAAAGCUUAAUCAUCUAAGAUCACAACAGAAGUACUAAUUGAAACAAGGCAAAAGUAAAAUGGGGCAGCAAAACUACAACAUGAAGUGUAUAUCACAUCAUUAAAAGCCAAUUCUAGUCCUGAUAUUAGAAUAACUUCACAUCAUAUGGGCUCUAACCUUCCAUCUCAUAAUCUGAUUGAGAACCUCAGGUUCACAAACAGCUUUAGCAUCUUCAAUGCUACAUCCCUUUUCUAACUUCUCUAAGGCUGUCCGAAUGGCCUGCAAAUACAUGCAUGUAUAUAAAAAAGCAAGUCAUAAACACAUACAAUAAAACCUUGCGAGUUCAAUGGAUGUCAUUAUCUGCAACCAUUUUCAACAUGCAAUCAGAAAGUAAGAUAUACCUUGACAGAAACCUCCACCUUUCCUUGCGUAAUGGUGCUGUCCAGUACAUUUUUUGAGUAUGAACAUAAGACUUUCUGCUUUUCUCUGAAUUCUUCCAAACUAAAGGAAGAAGUGGUACUUUUCAUUAAAUCAACUAUUCUGUGUAGCAAGAGAUAGGAUUCAAAUGUUAUGAACACUCCCAGUGAAAUGCAAAAGAUUUUAGAAUCAAAAUUUUCAAGAAAAGCACUAAAGCAACAACAAAAAAAAAAAAGAAAGGAAAAGGCAUCAAUGUGCAAGCACAUCACCGUGUUUCCAAUUCAGCAUCCAUCAAAGGUUGUGAGCUGCUUGCCCUCUUCAUUGAAGGCUUAAGUGAUGUGAUCUUCUCCACUUUACUUGGGAUAUUCUGCUGCUUAGGCUUAAUAUUAUAGUUUCUCAAGGAUGACUGGGUUCCCUUUACUGCAACAGACGCGCAUAUUUUGACUGGGACAGACUUGACAUUGUCCCUCAAAAACUUUUUAGUUGCAUCAUUAAUUUUCUGUUUGGUUGGGGGAUCAAAACCUUGGCUGGAACAUCUUUUCUCAAAAAAUUUCGUAGAAUCAACAUCUUUAACAACUCUAUGAACCUCCAACUUUGUCAUCUUUACUGCAGUGCUUUCUGCUGGGAAAAUUUCAGAAACUAUGUUUCUUUUCUUUGACAUAACUUUCUCAUUGCUUGAUGGUAGCUCUGAAACAUGUUUCUUCCCUUUACUUUCAGGAUCAGGAAAUCUUAUGUGGUUUCUUUCGGGAGUUCGAAGUUUUCUGUUUAUCUUAUGCUCCCUAGCCAACACAAUGAGUAAUCCAUAAUACAUUAAGUGUGCAGAAGACAAGUUUAAAAGAAUAUAAUCACUUAAUUAUAAACUUACAUGCAAUAUAUCAAGAUCCGAUUUGGCAACAGACCAAUCCAAGCCCUUUGCAUGAUAUUUUCAUUAUAGAUACAUUCAAAAGAAAUAUUCCUGCAAAAAAGUGACUAAAGCAUCACAAUGUGGACAUCAAAACUUCUUUCCAUGAAUUGACACUGAAUUCUAACCCAAUAAACUAUUGGAAAACCAAAUAAAGGCAUUAAACAAUUAGGGACUACCCGGGUAAACAUUUUCUGUGGUAUGCCUUAGGACAGCGUCUACACAGCGCAAACUGCAAGUCAUCAACCCCUUUAUUUUCUCCUCUUUUGCAAACAAAACAUUUGUGGAGAGGACAUGUAAAUGAGACCCCCCCAGCAAUUUUAUUUUGAAGAUGUUUUGCUAGAAUGUUAUUCAUAGGGUGGAGCCGUUUCGCAACACAAUAUGGAUGAUAAAACCGACCACAAGUUGCAGACGCACAACGGAAGACCUGGACAACAUUGGUUUAUGAAGUCUGAGUUACAGAUACAUAGUAAGAUAGUUUAUAUGCUGGAAAAACACCUCAAAUGUAUGUUUAAUGGAAUAUGCAGAGAUAAAAGAGUACAAAUUCAUUUUCUUAAUUAUAAUUUCAAUUUUCAACUGUGAUCCCAGAAAGCUAAUUGAAGCCAGCUCAAAUUCUGUUAUCAUGCUUCAUAUUCUGAGGGGAGAGAUAAGAGAAUGAAUAACCUGAUCCACAUGGCAAUUUUUAAGCAACUUAGUAUCAAUUUGAGGAUUACUAUAACUAGGGCUGCUGAUGACACACAAGAAAGUACACCUAGAAAAUGAUUCUGGAAAGCUCUCACUGCAGUGUUGGGUAGAUGAGCAAUAAUAUUUCCUCAAAACAAAUACUCUAAUUGGUUAUAAAGGAAUUUAUUAUAUGCUUCAGUUCCAAAGUAUUAGCAUAGUAUUAGAUACAGGCAUCAUCAAGUAGCAUCAAUGCAGCAAAUUUUUCUUAUCCUCCUUUGAAAGAAAAUGGAAUAAAGUUACAGAGUCAACUCAACAAGUGGUCCCAGCCAAGUUCAAAUGACACUUUGUUGCUGAAUGGAUUGGAUGAUCAAGGAUGCAGCAAUUCAUAAGCACUAACUUACUGUCUUCAACUCAACCAAUCAUCAUUAAGGCAUGCUGGUUUCCCCAGCCAUAUAAAGAAAGAAUCAACAUCUAGGCAUCAGUGAAUGCCAAAGUGGGCACCUAAGAUGACAAAAUUGCUAUACCUUUAAAAUGAACUAAUAGAAAAGGAAAAAUAAAAUAAAUACGUACAUAGAAGUCCUUCAUGAGAAAGAAAACUGGCAAUGAGAGAAAAGAUACAAAGGAAAAGAAGAAAGAAACUAAAGAAAUUAGAUAAUCAAAAGGAGCAUGUAUUCUCCACAAAGUUUUGCAACAUAAUAGCACUCUCCUCACAGGAUUGUCUAAAUUUAGCCAAUCUAGGGAUCUGCACAAUAAAGCAGGCUAAAAUCCACACACAUAGAGAGAAAGAAAAGGAAAAUAAUAGGAUCUUAUCUAUCGAUAACAAUAAUAAUAAUAAUAACAAAUAAUAGCAACCCCUCAAUAUAUCUGUUAAACAAAUAUAAUAACCUCAACAAAACCCCACACCUAGGAUUACCAAGAUAGCAUCCAUCAAAUUCAGCUUAGUCCCCUAGUGGGAAUCUUAGAGCGUCCAAUGGCUAAUGAAGGGUGAGGAAGGACAAUUCCAACCAAAUCCAGCAUAUUCAAAUCAAGAGGCAUCCCAGCACGAACUUUGAAGUGGAAACCCACAAGAAAUUGGUUACAAGACAUCAAUAUGGAUAGUAUGGAUGCCAAAAGGAUUGGUACUCAACUCAUUGAAACAUGUACUAGGAAGCUCAUUCAAAAGAAGAUGAUGCAAAUCCAUGGAGUUAAACCUUUGAAAGGUCUGUGAACUGGGAAGAAGUGGGGGUUUAAGUUGCGUUUUUAUAUUAGAAUUCAAGUGAGCAUUGUAGGUAAACCCAAACACUCAUGUAAUAUGAACUCAGCCUCAGCACCUGUAUCAUUAAACAUGAAUUCAAAUAUUUUUUAUACAGGCUCGUCAAUUCAACCUGAGUAACCAUGUCAACAGGUGAUGACACAGGUGUUUGUUAUAUAGGUUUUGAUAUGCGGCUGAAUUUAUUGAGAUUAUCACAAGUAGCACAUUUGAAUUUUUAAGUUAAAUGUUUAUUAGUUAUUACUUCUUUCUUUUUUUCGUUAAUGAUGCGAUGCAGAUGAUUGAUAUAACUUUUUACUUAGUGUGCAAUGAGUUACUAUUAAGAGUAAUGGGGCAGCUGUUUGUAGCUCAAAACUAUAUCAGUACUGCUCUAACUUCUGGAUUUGGAAUUUUUAUUAUGUUGUGUAAGUAAUUAGGAUUAUAAGGAGACUUUUGAUUGAUAAUGAAAUUUUCAGAUUUCUAUGAUCUUUUUGAGAUUAUUUUAGGCUUCCUUCAGUUAGCAGCCUAUAAGGAUUUUUCCUUGUUUCCCUCAAACUGAGCCUUCAAGAGACAUCAGAUAUGUUUUUAUUUUAUAGAAUUCCUGAUCAAGGAGGUUCAAAAGUGUUGCAUAAAAAUGGCAGCUAAGAUGAAAGCAGAGCACAAAAGUUUUAAAUCAACUAAAAGAUGCUGUUACAUACUGUUUGUCCUACUAAAAAUAGAAGAGAAAAACAGUAAUAAAAAACAUAUCAAGGUAGUAUUGCAAGAAAUGAAUAUACAAUUCUAGGUUACCAGUCAAGCAUCUACUUCCAUGAUAAGUUCAUGCCUGCACCUUCCAUAAUGUGUUUAAAUUCUUUUGAGCUUAAAGGUAAAACAUGGUAUAACAUAAGACAACAAGGUGGGAGGAACUCUUGGAAAUUGCAUUACAUGCCUUUUGAAGAAGCUCAAAUUGUAGCUGAAUUACUAUAGUUGUGUUGAAGUUCUCAAUGGACAAUUUUUUAAUAACAUGUAACCCACUGAUAUUAAUCAAUUAAAAGUUUCUAAAUCAACAAAAAGGAAGGAAAAUUCAAUACAAUUUCUGAAAAUGAUUUAAAAUAAACAGAACAUUCAUACUUCUGCACCAGAUGACUCAUUAGAAGAUCCCAACAUGCCACAAACAAAGCAUUGAUGCUGCUGAUAUUGACAAUUCUUACAAAGAAAAUUCUGAAUUGCCUGAAAAUAACCAAACAAUGCUCCAAAGGUGAAAACCAUUAGGAAUUUAGACCGAAAUAAACAAAUCCAAAAGAAAGACAAACUAAAAAAAGAAAAGAAAAGAAAAGAAAAUAGUUGCUUCCUGUUAAUCAAAAGAGAGGUUCAUACUUCAACUUGAGCAUCAGAAAACCCAAGAGAUUCACAAAAGGAUUCAGUUCCAGCAUCUACAGUUGCAUGAAAAGAUCUUAAGCACCUUCCUUCACAACUGCAUUAAAUAACAUAAAACAUAAGUAAAAAAGAAGUUGAGAAAAUAGUGUUUGGAUGAGCAACUAACAAAUGUUAAGCUUCAAAGUUCCUCAGGAUCACAGAGAAAAUAAGAAAAUAUUCUUUUUAAUAAGAAACAACUCUUUAUUAGAGGGAAAAAAGCAUGCAGGCACAGGAAUUCUCCUAACAGAAGCAAAAAGGAUUUUGAUAGUCUUUUUGCUUUAUUUAUUAUUUUAUUUGCCUUGCUUGCAUAUCAAAAAAUGCAAAAAGAAAAAAAAUCACCAAAAUUCAGGACAACGAAAGACGAACAACUACAAAUCACCACCAAGCCCAAAAUAGUAGGGGCUUGAAGCAUCCAGCAUGUUAUUCCAAAUGAUGCCUAAAUUCCAACAAUGUCUCCUUAUCUCCUCUACCAAUAGGAGACACUUGCAGAGUUGCAUUCCAAAGAUGAAACCUUUAUCGUUGGCUUCUUAAGAAUCCACAAGAAGGCAAAAGAGAAAAAAGAAAAUUUCUAUUUUAAUCACCACAUUCCAUCCAACCAACCUAAAUAGAAAAAAUAAAUGAUAAAUCCCAAGCUCUUAAUAAUAAGCAUAAAUGGUAUGUUAAUAGAAAAAGGGAAAACAAAUAAGGAUAAGAAAUCCUUCUGGAGCCAAAACAAUAAACUAACAAAACCAACACAAAUGAAAGCUGGGAGCAAAAAUAUCCCUACAAGUACCUCCAACCCAUUUGUCCUGUGUUUCUAAGAAAGCAACCAUCAUAGCUUAAUUUCCAGGAAUUGGGAGGCAGUUAGUAUGCCACCCAGCACUGGACAAUUGAGAAAACAGAUAGGAAGCACAGCUGUUCCAAUCUCUUAUGAUAUUUAGUAAUAGAAAAGCCUUCUGAAGUCAUAACUCAUAGGUAACUCAAGUGCCCAAAAUGAAGAAAUUUCCUAGGUUUUUCCUGGAUAGGACCAAGAGAAGAGAAAGAAUCAUAAAUAAAAUCCACUGAUUCCUUUCCUCCCAAAUAGCCAAUGCUGAUGCCAGGAUCUCUCCAUUCCAUAUCAUCUUAAAACUUUCAAAUAACACAUUCAGAGAGAGUUUCACUCUUCCCAUUUCAGAGCUUAUCAUAUGUAGUAAUCACUUAUCACCUCUGGAGCCAGAUACCUGAAUUAGGAUGGAUAACCUACUGACCUGCUUUAAUUGUCCAUGCAUAAAUGAAGUGUAAAAGAAAACACACAGGGUGGGAAAAUACAUACGAAAAUAUUAAAAAGGAAAAAAAAAAAAAAAAAGAAUAAGAAAACGGGGGGGGGGGGGGAACCCAUACCAUAGAAGUUCACCGCCAUUGUCACAAAUUGCACAAACAGAAUCAAACAGUUCAUCAUUGUCUUCGUCAUUUUCUUCAUCUUCAUCAUUGUCAUCCCGGUCAUCUAUAAACGUAUAUCUCCUCAUUGUGUGAACAUCCUGUUAAACUGAGUACAUUUAAUUUCAUGAAAUGCAGCUUGAAUAUUUAACCUAAAAUGCAAGAAGAAAACAUCAGUAUGUUCAUUUUAGUUCACUUUAGACGUAAGCAGUUGUGGUUUCUGAAGGAAUGAGAUUAAUCAGCAUUCCUGAGAUUUAUGGAACAGGCCUAUUGAAGUUAGUCUUCUUUCUAUUCUCAAGGAUAAAAGGAUGCCGCAACUUGAAGGAGUGAACAAAACAAUAAAAAGGAGAAAGAAAGAAGAAACUGGAGCUGGAUGAGCACAAAAAGCUAGAAGAAAAUUUUUGACAUUUGCUUUCGAGGUCACGGCGGAGGCGCUAGGGUUUCAAUGACUGAGAGAAGUGGACGAGGCACUUUCUUUCUAGGGUUUGAAAAGGAGGAAGUAGGCUGACUCCUUAAGCACUCCGGAUUAUAGAGAUUGAAAAUGGCCGUUGAUCUCUCGAAGGCUAGAUUGUGUCAGUGGAGAUGAAGGAGAAUGCCACUUUACCAGCUUUGAUGGAGAUGAAGUAUGGGUAUGGCGCAUGGAUGUUUACAGGUUCAGACUUUCAGUUACACAGUUACAGUUUUCGAAAGUGAGGAAGAAAGGUGAGCUGGAAGAACUGAGUUGACUCGAAGGCAAGACGAGCGGAACUGAGUCGUCCGUAGCAGAUGUCAGCAACUUAGGCCCCUCCAACGACCGAAAAAGCCAAAAAAGGGGCUCCAAUUGAAGACACCUACCCCACACUAUCUCUUUCAAAUUUUACCAGGCCAACACGUGGCAAAAAAUUAGAAUCAGGUGGAAGACAACUGGCCCCCACUAAACUGUAGGUCAGUUUUAAAUGGAGAAUAAACAGAGGUAAGAAAAAUUCUGAACAUGGUCAAAGGCUUCAGGAUCAAGCCCGAAGACGAAGCCCAGUGUUUUGAGAGCCCAAACUAAUCCAACUUUAGUUGGGAAUCAGGCCUUAAAAUUUAUAAACGAAGCAGCCCUUGAACAAGUCCGACCCGGGAGUAAAAUUCAUUAAAGACUUUGGGUCAGGCCCAAGGGGCAGCACAAAUGUUUUGAAGGCCCAAAACCGAAGCAAAAUUACGAGAGAGGGUGCCUUCGAGGCUUAGAGCAAUCUCAUUCAAAAUAAGCCUAUCUCGAAGAACAGCGUUCCACAGCCCCACUCAAUCUCUCUCCUCGGUUCCAGUUUCAGUUUUGAUGGGAAUAAUUCUUAAGGCUAUAUUUGGUUUAAUAGGAGGGAAAGAGAAAUAAAAUAAAAAUAAAUAAAUUUAAAGUUAAUAAAUUAUUUUUAUAUCUUAUUUUAAAUUUAUUUGUGUUUAAGUAUUUGUUUUAAGUAGGUUGUCACUGAUUUGUUUUUAUUCCCUGAUAAAAGACGUGUUGUUUAAUUUGAUUUAUUCUUUAGUCAUAUACUAGGUUUGUGGGAUUGUUUAACGUGAGUUAUUUUCGAUUCUGAGUUAUCUUUAUAAGGUUAUUUAUAAGCCAGUAAGUUAUUUAUUCAAUCAAUAAGAUAUUCUCCUUUUUCUUACUUUUCAAUACACAUAUUUCUUAACAUUUGGUAUAAGAGUCACAUCAGUGAGCCUGCUCAAAACUUGAGAAGCAGCAGUCUUCUAAAUGUGUAGCAGUAAGGAUGGCAACUAGAAGUAACUUUGUGCAACCAACAAUUUCAAAGCUUGAUAGACACUAUGAUCACUGGUGUAUGUUCAUGGAGAAUUUUCUACGCUCGAAGGAAUAUUGGAGCUUGAUAGAACAAGAGAUCCCUACAGUAGAAGUCGGGGCAAAACUCAUUGAAUGACAAAAUAAGGUAAUUGAAAAUGCAAAACUAAAGGAUUUGAAGGCUAAAAAUUAUAUAUUCCAAGUCAUUGAUCGAUCAGUUCUAGAGACCAUUUUGAAUAAGGAUAUAACAAAGAGCAUUUGGGACUCUUUAAAGCAGAAGUACUAGGGGACGACAUGGGUGCAACGUGCACAAUGACAAGCUCGUCGAAAGGAAUUUGAGGUGUUUAACAUGAGGGUAGUGCAAUCUAUGAAUGAGUACUUUGCUCGAAUGUUAAGAAGUCUAUGUAUUGAAAAGCAAGAAAAUGAAGAAUAUUUUAUUGAUUGAAUAAAUAACUUACGGUCUUAUAAAUAACGAUAACUUGAUAGGAUUGUUGAACGUGGGUUACUUUCAGUUCUAUUUGAGUUAUCUUUAUAAGCUUAUUUAUAAGCUAGCAAGUUAUUUAUUUAAUCACUAUAAUAUUCUCUUUUUUCUUGGUUUUCAAUACAUAGAUUUCUUAACAAUUUUAUUUAUUUUAAUUCUUUUAUAUAAGGACUAAAUAAUUUGAAAUACAUGAGUUUCAAAUUAAUUUUUUUAUAGUAAAAUCAAAUAGGAGAAAAUCAUUUUUCUUUUUAUUUUUUUCCUAUACUUUCCUAAAAUAAAAAAUCAAACAUACCCUUAAAGUUAUGUUUGGUUUCUAGAAAAUUUGAGGGAAAAUAUUAGAGAGUAAAAGUGUAAGGAAAUAAGAGGUAAAGGAAAAUAAAAAAUAUAUUCAAAAUUAAUAAAUUAUUUUUGUAUACUUCUUUAAAAUCAUUUCACUUGUUUUCCUCCACCAUAUAAAGAUUAAAGUCAUAAGUUAUGUUUGGUUUCUGAAAACUACUAAAAAAAACAAAAUUAAGAAAAAUGAUUUUCUUAUAUUGGUUGUACUAUAAAAAUACCAAAGAAAAUCAAAUAUAAUUAAAAUUAAUUAAAAAUUUAUAGAUUUUAAAAUUAUUUAAUUUUUACAUAAAAAUAUUAAAAAGUGAAAUAAGUUUGGAGCAACCUAUAGAAAUAAUUUAUCGACUUUAAAUAUAUUCUUUAUUUUCUUUCACUUUUCCUUCCUUUCUGCUUUUUCUCUCUAUUUUCUUUCUCUCAUAUUUUUCUUUACAUUUUACAGAAACCAAGCAUAACUUAAAUAAUUUUAAAAUGUAUAAAUUUCUAACUAAUUUUAAUUAUAUUUGAUUUUCUUUCAUAUUUUAAAUAAUAAAAUCAUUUUCCCAUCAUUUUUCAUGCUUUUAACUAGAACUAUGUAGGACUCGUUUAAUACAUAAGCCACAGGUGAAGUGUGAGCAACUUAGCACUGACCUCAUAAAGAGCUGUCUCUCCACCAGUCUUCUCCGGAAGGUAAGUAAGCAUACACUGUCCAAAAGGUUUAGCCUGUCAAGACUGCAUAUUACAGCACAAAUACACACGCACCAAACUGAAUUUUGCUGCCACAUUUGCAACUGAAUGCCCAUGGAAGGAAGCAAUAAAUACUCCAACCCAAACAAGGGAGUUUGAGUAUAAUUGUAACAGAGUGGUAUAGCCAUGGAUUCAGAGAAUGAGAAACUAUCCAUCAAAUUUCAAUGGUUGUAAGGAAGAACAAACCUUGGACUUCAACAAAUCUUCCUCUCUUUUCACAGCUUCUUGGAUUAAUGGCAUGUGAUCCAACAGAUCAUUCUCAGAUGGUUCAAACUCAUAUGAGCUGCACAAUACACAGCAGAUUAGUAUCGUCCUUGAGAACAAGCAACAGGGCAGAAGAAGAUUCAAAUUAUAACAUCAAUAUUUAGACCUGAAGGAUUUCAGCAAGUGAUUCCAUAGGGAUUUCCCAGAUGCCUCUGGAUUCCUUUUCACAAAGUGGAGCCAGGAAACAGUGACCAAAAUUGUUCUGACUAUGUUCUGAAAACUUUUCCUUGGACUCUGGAGUUCCAUCCAAUUUUUGUCCUUGGAAAGCACAAAAAUCUCAGGCUCCACACUUGAGAGUUCGAACUUCCAAGCUAUGACCUGUUUGUAUAUCUUCUGAAGCCCAUCAUAAGCAGACCCCCGUAAAAAUAUCAUCAUUUUCAGGCCAUCUGGAUUCUCAUCCUUACUCCAUUGAAGGGGUAGAAUGGAAAAUGAAAUGGGUUCGUCCUUGUAAUCAACAAAAUAGUAAUCUCUGAUACAAUUUGGCAGAAUCUCCCCCUCUUCAUCUGAAGAUGCCAUUCAGCAUUCACACCAAACUAGACCUUAAAAAAGAAACAAACAAAAAAUCUAAAUAGAAUUCACAGUACUUGACAGUAUUUAAUCAUAAGAGUCUCCAACACAUGAUCUGUUCAUAUCUUCAAGCAAGAAUUGUGAAGGGUUCUUUCCCAAAUGCCUAUCUGGUGGAAUUUCUGGGUUUGAUUUUCUCGUAAUAAUUUUCUGGGGCGAUUUUGUUUUAAUGUUUUAACAAAAAAAAAAUGUUAUUGGAAAGUGCUUCCAAAUGGGUAUUUAGAAUACUUUGUAGUGAUUUUACAAAGUGUUUCUAACAUUUAUAACACUUAAUUCAAGUAUUAUAAAAACUGAAAUACUUUCUAAAAUCACUACCAAAUAUAAUCUAAAUACAAUCAUAUUUCUUAAUAAAUUCAUAUUUUUCUAAUUAUAUAGAGAAGAUCAGGCCGAGAAAUAUAGAGAGUUUUGAGGUUGAACAUCCUCAUCUUAUUAAGUUAGAAGCUUGAACUUCCUUUCCGUUGUCUUGGUUGCAGAGAAAAUGUAGGACAGAAAAGAAACGAGAUUUGAACACAAGAAUUCCAACCACACCCAACUCAUCAUUACCAGAAAAGAUAUCACAGGACGAAAUUCGGAGACGAACAAAAACACAGAGUGUUCAGAGCUUAGAGUUCAAAAACAAACCAUGAAGCGAAAUCCGUGUAUUUAAAUUCAGAAGUGAAAAACUCAAAUGGAAAUGAAAAGCAUGGCAACAUACCAAACUCCAAAUUAAUUUCUUGCUUUUUCUUGAGAAAAUUUGGUGAGGAAAAGAAAACCCUAGAGUGAUCGAGAAAAAGGGCAAUGGGGUAAGUGUGAGAAGAUUGCCAGAAAUGGAGAACCCGCCAUAGUGAGGGACGAGUCAUGGGGAAUGAGUGUGUACGGAAGACGGACGGUUUUGGAAAAGUGCUAUUGCCAGUAAAGGUUUUUUCUCCUUCCAGGUGAACACAGGUGGUUCGAUGGGUGGGAUGAACGCGGGAAGGCGUGGCGGCAGGAUUAUGGAGUCUGGAAACAGCGCCUAUCCGGCAGAUGUUGUCCCUCUCGGUACGAAAAUGGAAUUAUUUUUGCUUUGGUUUACCUUUCAAAUAAUUUCAUUUUUAAAACUUUAGAAAAAAGAAUGAUUUCAAAGAUUAUUUCCGAACAACCUAUCUUAUUUUUCAAAAAUGAAUAAUAAUAUUUUUAACAAUUAAUUAGAAUAUUUUGAAAUUUUUCAUAAAUUUUAAUAUAAUUUAAAACUAUUAUUAAAUUAUAAAGAAUAAAUAAAAUAUGGUUUUAAUAAAGCUAUGAAUUAUACUUCAAAAAAGUAUAUAAUUAUAUUUUAAAAUAAUAUGAUUAUUAAUAAUAUUUUGUUUAAAAUGAAUUAUAAUAUAAAAAUAAGUGUAAUUCAUUUUUGUAAAUAUGUAAAUAAAUUAAUUUUUUUCAUCGUACAUGUAGAUAUGCUCCUUAAUUAAUCACAGGGUAUUAUGGAUCAAUUUGGUCCAACAAAACUUCCAAAAAAUUUACUUAAUUUUUAAAUUUUAAAUUAUUUUUAAAAUUAUUAAUUUCAUUAAAGAAUUCAAUAUAUAUGUUUUUCUUGAGAAUUUUUUUUUUAAAAAAAAUAUGGUUAUGGUUACGAGCAUAAAAUAAACCAAUAUAGUUUUUCUUGACCAAUUUUAUUCCAAUAAAUUUUGUUAUUAAUUUGGCUUAAUGUUAAAUUUUAAAUUUUCUAAAAGAAAAAUAUUAAACUCAUGGUAGAAAGUAGAAACUAACAUAUUAAAUCUCGUUUUAUUCAAAAUUCAUUUACUCAAUCAAAAAAUUUAGAAAAAAUGUAGAGCUAUGUGUUACAAAAAAAAUUAACAUAAUCAUUCUAUAUUGAUAUUGCAUCGAAAAUGUUAUUAGGUCACAGUCCACUGGUUGAACUAGUGACUCAAUUGCAAUCGAACCAUAAUAUCAACAUAACUUCAUAAAUAUAUAAUGUAUAUAUUAUUUAAAUUAAAAAUAAUUAUAAAAUUUUUAAUUUUACAUAUAAAUGAUAAUUGUAUCGAGAUUUUGAUGUUGUUUCCUAUUUAUUGAACUUUCCCUUGAAACUGUCACCUAUAAAAGUCUUUAAAAAUAAUAUUUAUUCCAUAAUAUAGGAUGUCAUGCCCUCACAAAGUAAAAUCAACAUCAUAUAAACAAAUUACAAAUAACGAGAACUAACAAAGUUUGUAUAGAUGGAUUGAGUUCGAUUUUUAAAAUAUUGCUAAUUGGCAUAAGUAUGGUAAGAUAAUAACUUUUUGACCAAGUAAAACUACAUACAUUGCUUUCAUAAUUAGUAGAUUGUAUCUAUUAAUUAUUAUCUUAAUCAUAUUUUUUUGUUAAUCAUAUUUUUUAUAUCUUAAUUCGAUUUUUAUAUCAUAAUUAUAUUUUUUAUACCUAGAAUGGGUAUUAUGGGGGGCUUCCCUCCUCGUGUUCUUCACAGGCUCAAAACCCUUUGGUCAUCCAAGGUAAGCGAAUAAUUCGUCUGGGAGCAAUCCGUUUGGACCAAGACAAACUCUGUCUGGCGCAAAAGGAAAGACAAAUUUCCUUCUUCACCAAUGUCAGACGGAAUGGACAGACCAAGCCGACCGGGGACUUCCUGAUGACAAACUAAGUCAGUAGGAAAUUCCAGGCAUUGAGUAGAUGAUUAACCGCCACCAAUGCCUAAGUGAUAAUCAACACAACAUUUACGUAUGAAAAUCAAUGUCCCUUGGUAUUUACGUGCAAUCAAUGACAUUGACAAACAUAAAUGCAUUAUCAACGACAUAGUUUGGAAUUCUUGUACGACAAACAACAAAUGGCGCCAAUCAAUAGCUAUUAUUUGGUAUGAUUGUCCAAUCCGCAUUGAGAAAAUGACAUUGAUUAUCUUAUUAAGACAUAAUGUUCGUCAUGACGGCAUUCAUCAGCGUAGGAAAGACAUGAAUGCCCAAUUAUCAUUGCGAUGAUGGUGUCAUACGUUCUAUAAAAACCCCUCUAGAAGCAUUAAAAAAAUACAUGUGCACAUAGCCAUUCAAAAAGUUGGACUCACUCUCGCUAGAUUCUAACUUAAGUUUCGGAGAGGCGUGCCCAGACCACAUGUCCGGACAUCCUUUUAUGUAAAGAAACAAUCUGUCUGACUUUGGUGAAGCUAGACGGGCUUGCAUUUAAUUGACACAACACUAACAUUGGCACCGUUUGUGGGAAACAACUAAGGAUGUCAACACCCUCUAGAAACCAAUCAUCAGCUAUGGGUGACAAAGACUAUUUUGUCUAGCACAAAAGAAUGAAAAGACACCAAAAAGAAAAUGUGUGACAAAUACAGACUUUGUUCCACCAAAUGAAACGACUAAGAGAAGAAAACAAAGAGUUAUGGGCUCAAAUGUCAACAGAGGCCUCUCUCAAAGUAGGUACACUCAAAGUUGGCAAACAACCUUACGACAAACUGUUGAGACAUCUUUCCUUAGAGGCACAAAGCUCUCCUCCUACAGCUACUCGAGAUGAUCUAAGGAGGAACCUUCGUUAGCUUGUCAAAAGCAGUCGGACAAAGGCACUAGCUCCACCUGGGCAUCAAGAAAAAAAAGGCGUUGUAGAGGGUCGCAUUUGUUUAACGCGAUGAGAGCCCGACUGGGACCUCAAACACUAGGCAUGGAGGUGAAGCCGUGCAUGUCAAAAACCCCAAGGGCACGUCUAGGUCAUCCAGUUGCAGUAACCACAUUUGGAUAGCUCCUUUAGCCACUAAGGCAACAACAGGCAAGAGUGUCAGCAAAGCGAGAGUGCCAACAGGGCAAGAGUGCUAGCAAUGCAAGCCCCGCCCGACUUUAUUAGCCGACGGUUGGAUGAUAUGCUCUCCAUAUCGUUCGGCCCCCAUAUCAUUAGCUAUGAAAUGCCUAGAGGGUUCAUGGUGCCCAAAUUCACAAUGUACGACGAAAUGAGCGACCCGUUUGACCACAUCAUGCACUUUAGGCAGCUCAUGACCCUCGACAUAGGGAAUGAUGCACUAAUGUGUAAAGUCUUUCUAGCCAACCUACAUAGCUAAGCUCUCUUCUAGUUCCAUCGCCUCCCGUAGAAUUCGUGAACACAUUUCGGAAUGUCUCAGAAGCCUUUGUGGGUCACUACCUAUGUUCCACUAGACAAAAACAGAACAUAAGCACCUUGUAGAACAUUAAGUUGUAGGAAAAUGAAACAUUAAGAGAUUUCAUGAAGCGGUUCGGGCAAGCAGUACUUCAAGUUGAAUCCUGUAGUAUUAACAUCAUCCUAUAGAUCUUCAAGUGAAGCAUUAGCUUGAGCACUCCAUUUUUCAAGUCCAUCGUGAAAAAAUCACCCACAACAAUGGAUGACCUAUUCAGACAGGCGAACAAGUAUUCUAUGCUCAAAGAUGAUGUCCUAGCAGUCUCUCAACAAGUCUUGGUCACCAAUUAGUUGACCAAGAAUGAUAAGGCAAUGAGUUCUAAGUCUUCUAACCAAACGAGGCAAGGUGGCAGAAGGUAAGACAACCGAAAACAACAGUAAGAUAGACUCACUCCCUUAAGUAUCUCCUAUGAAAAACUUCUCCUACAAAUCCAUGAUAUGUCAGACUUCAGAUGACCGGAGCCAAUCAAGACAAAUUUGGAUAGACAGGAUCGGAACAGAAGGUGCUCUUACCAUAAGGAUCAUGGUCAUACCAUUGAACAAUGCAAGAGCCUGCAUUACUUGGUGGAAAAACUCAUCAGGGUUGGACACCUUAAGUAGUACAUCCGCACAAUAAGCGGGCAAAGAGAGGCAACACUAGAGGCAAUCACCCAAGCCCUUACAUCUCUGACAGCCCCUAAGGUUAUCAUUAACUAUAUACACAGAGGUCCAAUAGAUGACAAACACAAUUCUAAGCGGCAAAGGCAAAGGUUGUUUCACACAACUUCUGUAAGAAAACAAAUUAACUCUGUUUAAUGCACCUUCGCAUAAGAAAGUGUGCAUUCAAUUGACGGUACAAUCAUCUUUCCUUCUAUAGAUGUUAAUCGAGUGUUGCAACCGCAUGAAGACGUCUUAAUCCUAAUGUUAGAAGUGACAGAUUCGAUGUGCAGAGAAUCUUAGUUGAUUUGGGUAGUUCAGUUGAUCUUUUGCAAAUGUCAACCUACAAGCAAAUGGGUCACUCGCCAUCCGCUCUAAAGAAUCUAGGACAUUUAUUAUUCGAAUUCAAUGGAGCUACAACAACCUCCCUAGGCGAUGUUAUGUUACCUGUCUAAGCUGCCCCGGUCACAUUAAGCAUACAGUUCUCGGUGGUUGACGAUUUGUCUCCAUACAAUGCCAUUAUGGGAUGCACAUAGUUUCACAAAAUAAAAGUUAUUCCUUCUAUUUACCAUCAAAUGGUGAGCUACCUCAUGGAAGCGAGACAUGUAGAUUUCCUUGGCGGCCAGCUAGCCGCACAAUAAUGCUAUCAAGUGGCGCUAAAGUUCGAGCAUCCAACCGACGAGGAGGCGCACCUAAAGCCAUCAAAUGCAAUGAAACAAUAGCAGUUAUUGAGCCCGACGGAGAAAGAUCCAUCCACGAUUAAUCCAUUCCAACUACAGUUGAUCCACUCUAACCAUUGCACCUUUCACAUGACACAAAUCAAAUCAUAUACACCAGCUCCUUACUUGCAUAAGAUGAACUAGAAUUGCCAGGAAGUAUGCUUCAGCGAAAAUAAAGACAUAUUUGUCUGGACUCACUUGGCAUGUCAGGAAUCCAUCUGGUCGUUGCCUCCAACAAGCUCAAUGUCUCACCCAUCUCAUGACCUAUUCAAUAGAGGGCCCAACGUUUUCAUCUAGAUAAAAAAAAAAAUCCAGAUGGAAAUCGACAAGCUAUUGACAGCUAGAUUCAUCAAAUAAGUCAAAUAUCUAGAUUGGUUGGCAAACGUGAUGGUAGUUCCAAAGAAAUGGGGAAAGUUGUAAGUUUGCGUUGAUUACACCAACCUGAAUGACGCCUACCUAAAAAAUAGAUUUCUUUUGCCCCGGAUAGAUCAAACAAUCGAUGCCACCACCAGGCAUGAGAUGUUCUCCUUUCUAGACGCUUUUUUGGGAUAUCACCAGAUCCCUAUGCUCCUAACAAAUGAGGAGAAAACAACCUUUGUCACACCACAAGGACUAUAUUGUUACAAAGUCAUGUCGUUUGGACUCAAGAAUGUUAGUGCUACCUACCAAAGACUAAUGACAUAAAUCUUCAAACCCCUGAUCAAUAGAACUCUGAAAGUUUACAUUGAUGACAUUGUCGUGAAAAGUGAGACUCGAGCUAAGCACGUCCAACACUUGGAAAAAGCAUUUCGUCUAAUAUGGGAGUACAAUAUGAAACUCAAUCCAGCUAAGUGUGCUUUCGGCGUUAGUGCAGGGAAGUUUCUAGGAUUUAGGGUAAUUCAAAGGGGAAUUGAAGUUAAUCUGACUCAAGUGAAGGUCGUCCUCGAAACACCUACUCUAAGUAGCAAAAAGGAAUUGCAACGUCUCAUAAGCCAUCUCGUAGUCUUGGGUUGUUUCAUAGCUCGUUUCAUAGAUAAGUUGUGACAUUUCUUCCUCACACUUAAUGAGGUAAACACGUUUGAUCGGAUAGACGAAUGUAAGCGGGCAUUUGAGGCAAUCAAGCACUACCUCACCAAACCACCUAUCCUAAGCAACCCCAAAUCCGACGAAGAACUCUUCAUGUAUCUGGUCGUAUUUGACUACGCUAUUAAUGCUGUCCUGUUUCGACAUAUAUGGGACAAGGAGUAGAGACCCACCUAUUAUGUAAGCAAAGUAAUGGUGGAUGUUGAGACACGAUAUUCUCAAGUGGAGCAAAUUGCUUUAGCAUUGAAGAUUGCCGCCCAAAAGCUCGGUCUAUAUUUUCAGGCUCAUUAAGUAACUAUACUCACAAACCAGCCGCUUCGAGUCACCUUGCACAAGCCGAACCUAUUCAGGCGGAUGAUGAAAUGGGCAAUCGAGUUGAGCAAGUAUGGGAUCGAGUACCGGCCACGGUUAUCCUUAAAAGAGAAAGUUAUUGUCAAUUUUAUAGCUGACCUCUCUUAAAAGCAAACACAUCCGACCAACCACCCUGGAUAGUAAUGAUGGAUUCUUCAUGUAGACGGAUGUCCAGGGUGUCUGGAUCAGGGAUAGGUCUAACCCUACAAUCACUAACCAGUGAACUAAUGGAACAAGCUAUCCGCCUCAGCUUCCUAACUUCAAACAAUGACACAUAAUAUGAAGCUAUGUUAGCCAUACUAGAUCUUGCUCUAAUGCUUACCGUUGCUAAGUUGGAAGUCAGAAGCGAUUCUCAACUAAUUGUUAGGUAAAUUCAAUAAGAGCACAAAGCAAAGAAUGAACGUAUGGUCUGAUACCUCGCCAUGGUAGAAGAACACUUGAAAAAGCUAGACGAGUGGAUCAUCAAACGGGUGCCACGAGAGGAAAACUAAAAGAUGAAUCAAAUGGGUGGAACCUCGCUAUUUAUAGGGAACAAAAACCUAAGCAACCCAAAAGACAUGCUAUCUGGGAGCACUUAUCAAGAUUGGUGAAGGGGCAUACCGCCUGACAACCGACCUUGAUCGAUGUGACCCAUCAUUAAAGCACCAAAUGACAUGGAUCCCUUGGCGCCUAAAAACUUGAAAAAACAAACAAUCUCUCAUUCUCUAACCUGUCAGCAACUCUAUCAAACAGAAGUAGAUGAAUUAGGAGGCAUUGUGGGGGGGCUUCCCUUCAUGUGUCCUUCAUAGGCUCAAGACCCUUUGGUCGUUUAAGGUAAGCAGAUAAUUCGUUUUGACCAAGACAAGUUCCAUCUGGCACAAGAGAAAAGACGGAUUUCCUUCUUCCCCAAUGCCAAACGAAAUACACAGACCAAGCCAACUGAGGACUUCCAGACGGACAAACCAAGUUAGUCGGAAAUUCCAGACAUUGAGUGGAUGAUUAACCGCCACCAAUGCCCAAGCGACAAUUAACAUAGCAUUUAUGCCUGAAAAUCAAUGUCUCUCGGUUGUUAUGCGCAAUCAGUGACAUUAACAAGCAUAAAUGUACAAUCAACGAUAUGGUCCGAAAUUCUUGCAUAACAAACAACAAAUGACACCAAUCAGUAGCUCUUAUUUGGUAUGAUUGUCCAAUCCGCGUUGAAAAAAUGAUGUUGAUUAUCUUAUUAAGGCAUAAUAUCCAUCACGACGACAUUCAUCGGCAUAAGAAGUACAUGAAUGCAUGAUCAACGCUGCAACGAUGGUGUCAUAUAUUCUAUAAAAACCCCUCUAUAAUCAUAAAAAAUGUAUACGCGUGUAUAGUCAUUCAAAAAGUUGGAUUCACUUACACUAAAUUGUAACUUAAACUUCAGAUCAGAGGGGUGUACCCAAACUAUCUCUAUAGACAUCUUUGUAUGCAAGAAAGCAAUCUGUCUAACUUUGGUGAAUCUAACGGACCUACAUUCAAUCGACACAUCACCAACAAGUGUACAUAUUAAAAAUACAAAUUGACUUCAUAUCCGUCACAGAUGGUCCCUGCAAAAAGGGUACUGCUCUUCAUCUUCGUAGUCCACAGUCAAUAUCCAAACCCUUCUGAAACCUAAACGGAAAUGCCCGCCAGCACAAACUCUAAUUUUAAUCCUAUUCCCAUCUCGCCAUGUAUUGCAAUCCCAAUUCCCCAAGCCUAGACCCCAAGCCCCAAAUCCACCAACCAUGUCCACGCCUCGCCCAUCCUGGACCAUCGACCCGGAUCUCGACACCAUCGACCUUGAACCCGAAGACUUUGCCGCCUCUCUUCCCAUCAAGAAAGUCCCAGCGGGCGACGUCUUCGAGGCCUCCCGUGCCGGCGACGUCGAUAGGCUCCGGUACCUGCUGGAGUCGGGGGUGAAUGUGAACGCGCGGGACCAAUGGGACUCGGUGGCGCUCUACUACGCCUGCCUCGCCGGCCAUCUCGAUGCUGCGCGAAUGCUACUCGAGAGCGGCGCGAUAUGCUCGGAGCAUACCUUUGAUGGCGAUCGCUGCCACUACGCAGCGCUAAAUUUGAAGGUUCGAAAGCUGUUGAAGGCCUUCGAGGCGCGGCCUCCGCCUUUGGGGCCGUUACAGGGGGCGCUGAGAGAGACUUUCUUAGGGUGCGCCGCAAAUCGGAUUUACAGUGAAGAAUUGGAGGGGCAAUUUCAAAAUUCAGGUUAGUUUUCGGAACUGAGAGUCUUGGGAAAAAGUUAUUGAUGGAGAUUGCAUUUGAAAUGUGGGAAAUGAAAUGAUAAUUUGUAUGGUGGCUGAGAAAAUGUAGCGAAAGAAAAUGAAUUAAGAUCCUCAUACCAGAAUUUGAGGUCAGUUUUAGCUUAAUGUUGUUUGCAUUAGUAUCUUGGUAUUUUGUGAAAUAUUACAAUUAGUGAUAUUUCACUAAGAGUGUUCUUCAGGGAAGAAAAGUAAUUGUGUCAAAUGCAAUUGAAUCGAUAAAAUAUAAUUGAACCACCAGAAGACAACGAUGACCAAAAACACUUCAAAAUUGAGUUUUAGGCCAAGGUAAAAACACAACAACAAACAUCUGUAACAGGGAAGCACCUCCCUUUCUCAACCUAUCUGCAGUUUGGUUGGUCAGAUUAGGGGUCCAUAUAGAAGAAUAUAUCAACUUUGUGGAUAGAUUGGAUAUUUUGUGCUACCAGUUGUUCCACUUCUAAGGAUGUUGCUAUGUGUGAGAUACCCAGGUGAUGACCAUGGCUGCUUUGUCUUCAGCUGAGAAGUUGUUGAAAUCCAAAGAAGAAGCUAAUGUCAGACCAACCAAUGGCAGAAUUAUCUAAACAGCCCACCCCACCCCAAAAGGUUUGUUAAAAGCCUUAACUAUCUCCCCUCUAUCUCUAGAAAAACUCCAAUUAUACCUAUUUGCUUUAGUUGCCCAAACAGUGACCAUCAAAACUAAACUUACAAGGACCCAAAGAAGGAGGUUUCAUUGCAACUGUUGUCUCUUCAAUCCUACUAGUAGAGAGGUAGAUGGAACCCAUAAUCCAAAAUGAUUACCAAACAAGGUGCCUGAAAGUUCCGAGGUUAUUAACCCUCAGAGGGAAUAGAGAAAGUAAACAGAUUCCCAUUGGGAAUAGAGAAAGUAAACAGAGUCCCAUAGUGACUCAACUAGCUUCCAUUUGUCCUAAAAUAUUUUGGCAUUUCUCUCUUAUAAAAUCACCCAAAGAAGAGUUAAGUGUGGCCAAUCUUUGAUGAACUGCGCUUCUGUUAGACAGCAUAGACCUUCCAAAUGGGUUAUAGGUGUAGGUAAAAACCAAUAAAGGGACUAAACCUUUGCUUUAUAAUUGUAAAAAACUUACAAUAAAUGAUCAAUGAUACGCAUCACAAUUAUGUAUCUUAUCUUAACCAUAUCUUAUGGUACAAAUGUGAUACACAAUAUGAUCAAAUGGUGCAUGGCCCUUUGACUAUUUUUAAUAGUUUUCAGAAAAACGAAAUUUGAGAAAAAAAAUUCUUAAAAAUAAUCUUAUAUUAAUUGGUUAAACUUCAGUUCAAGGUUAUUGACGAUGAAAGGGCAAGGUAGAGGUAAAUUAAUGCUACAUGAAAAUGCUUCACACUUGUUGUCAAAGGCAAACGAAAAUUGGAAACUUUAAAUAAUUUUAUUCUUAUAAUAAAUAUCAAGAGCUUGUUAUUUGAUGAUUUGGAUGCUAACCUGGAAUAUGACGGUGAAUGAUUUAUUUUAUUUUAUUUUAUUUAUUUAUUUAUUUUUUAAGGCAAUGGUAAACAAAAUUUUGCUUAAUAUAUUAGUUUUUUUUCAAAUCUUUUUCUUUUGGGGAGGGAUUGAUGAGCUUGGAAAGUUAGAACUUGAAAGUGGUACAUAAACUCAUAAAUACCAAUGACAGGAAAUAUGGGAUGAAAAAUAAUAAGUUCUCUCUCUAUUAGAUUGACUAUACACAGGGUUUAUAUAGGAGAUUACAAGAGAAGAAAUAGGAAACAAGAGACGUAAUAGGAAACUAACUUAUUCCUAAACUAACCUAUUUCUAAAUCAUAAAACUAUCUAUUUACAGAAAUAGGAAACUAAUAAAACUAUCUAUUUACAGAAAUAGGAAACUAACAUAAUAUGAAAAAAAAUUCUCCUAUUCUAUUUAUAGCUCAACACUCCCCCUCAAGCUGAGGAAUAGAUGUCUUCCAUUCCCAGCUUGAAUACAAGAUCGUGAAACAUUGAACUGUUCAGCCCUUUUGUUAGAAUAUCAGCUAAUUGAUGUUCUAAUGGAACAUAGGACAUACACACUACUCCUUCCUCCAAUUUUUCUUUGAUGAAAUGUCUAUCAAUCUCAAUAUGUUUUGUCCUAUCGUGUUGUAUAGGGUUAUGAGCAAUAUUGAUAGCUGACUUGUUGUCACAAUAGAGCUUCAUAGGACCAUCCCACUUGAUUCUCAAAUCAUCUAGAAUAAUCUUCAGCCAAAGUAGUUCACACAACCCUUGAGCAAUGACCCUAAACUCUGAUUUUGUAGACGAUCUUGCUACCACAUUCUGCUUUUUACUUCUCCAUGUUACCAGAUUUCCUCCAAGAAAAGUACAAUUCCCUGUAGUUGAUCUUCGAUCCACUAGGGAACCUGCAUAGUCAGCAUCGGUGUAUACUUCUAGAGCAAGAGUAUUGUUCUUCUUGAACAAAAUUCCUUUCCCGGGGUUGCCUUUCAAGUUAUGUAGCACCCUGUAAGCAGCUUGAAGAUGAGGUUCUCUUGGGUCAUGCAUGAAUUGACUAAUCACGCUCACCUAGUAGGCGAUGUUUGGCCGAGUGUGAGCAAGGUAUAUGAGUCUAUCAACCAGCCUGUGGUACAUUCUUUUAUCCACCAUUGGCUCCUCUUUAGCUUCUCCCAACUUGUGGUUUGGAUCCAUUGGGGUAGAGACUGGUUUACACCCAAUCUUCCCUGUUUCUGCCAAUAAAUCAGUCACAUACUUUUGUUGAGAGAUGAAGAUCCCUUGUGUGGAAUAUGCCACCUCAAUACCGAGGAAGUACUUCAGUUUCCCUAGUUCCUUUAUCUCAAACUCUAUUGCUAAUCUCUGCUCCACUUCAUGCUUUUCUCUCUCAUCAUUUCCAGUCACUAUGAUGUCGUCAACAUAGACUAGAAGAGUAGUUACUCCCCCUGUAGUCGAGUGCUUGAUGAAGAGAGUGUGGUCACCUUGGCUUUGUUUGUACCUAGACUCUUUCAUGACUUUUGCAAAUCUCCCAAACCAAGCCCUGGGAGAUUGUUUUAGCCCAUACAGGGCCUUCUUCAGUUUGCACACCUUGUUACCUGUGUUUUCCUCAAAUCCUGGUGAGAUGUUCAUGUAAAUCUCUUCAUCUAAAUCACCAUGAAGAAUUGCAUUCUUAACAUCAUACUGUAGGAGUUGCCAAUUGUAGUGGGCAGCUAGUGACAACAGGAUUCUUACAGUAUUCAUUUUUGCAACUGGAGCAAAAGUCUCCUGAUAAUCAACUCCAUAAGUUUGAGUGCACCCUUUGGCUACCAAUCUUGCUUUAUGUCUCUCUAGAGAUCCAUCAACCUUAUAUUUCAGUGUGAAAAUCCACUUGCAAUCAACAAUGUUUUUCCCUUUCGGUCGUUCAACAAUCUCCCAUGUUUUAUUCUUUUCUAAUGCACUCAUCUCCUCUCUCAUAGCAUCCUUCCAUUCCCUUUUUGUCAAUGCCUCAGAAACAGUGAUAGGAAUGAUAGUGGUGUUUAGACUCACAAUAAAAUUCUUUUGGGCUGGUGAUAGGUGCUUAAGAGACACAUAGUGUGAUAGUGGAUAAAGUGGUCGGUUAGUGCAUUCUCUGGUGCCUUUUCUGACAGCAAUGGGAAGGUCUAGAUCUAGGUUGUCUGUUGAGUCAGUGGAAGUUUCACCAGGUUGUGUAUGUAAAGGUGGGUCUGAUCUUACCAUGAUUUCAUUCCCAAGGUCUGAGUUGGAUUCUUGGACUUGCUUUUGUUCUGGAAUGGCCUUUUCCCUUGAAUACAUCUUAGGAAACUGUGGAAAAUUGUGAGUGACACUGGCUGGAAUAGAGGAUGACACAGGUUCUUCAUCACCAUGGGUUGAGACAUGAGGAAGAUCAAGAGGUUGAGUGACACUGGCUGGAACAGAGGAUGACACAGGUUCUUCAUCACCAUGGGUUGAGACAUGAGGAAGAUCAAGAGGUUCAAAUGACUCAUAAGGACUAUCUUCCAUCAUUGAAAUCUCCCCCUGAAGAGAGGACUUGUGGAAAAAAGGUUUAUUUUCUGUGAAGGUGACAUCUGCAGAGAUGUAAAAUUUUCUAGCCGAGGGAUUGUAACACUUGUAUCCUUUUUGAGUGGAUGAGUAACCAAGGAAGACACAUUUUAUGGCUCGGGGGUCUAGCUUGUCUCUAUGUUGGUUGUGGACAUGAACAAAUGCAAUGGACCCAUAUACCCUAGGAGUGAGCCCAUUUAAGGUUCUGAAGUGUGGAUAGAAACUCUUAAGUAUCUCGACGGGGCUUUUGUUGUCUAAUACUCGUGAGGGAAUUCUAUUUAUCAUGUAUGUGGCAGUAAGAACAGCUUCCCCCCAAUAGGACUUAGGAACAUUCCCUUGAAAGAGUAAGGCUCAGGUUGUGUUGAGUAAAUGCCCAUUUUUCCUCUCAGCUACCCCAUUUUGUUGGGGUGUGUUAACACAUGAUGAGUCAUGGAGAAUGCCCUGUGAUUGAAAAUAGGGUGACAAAAUUUGGUUGAAGUAAUCUCUAGCAUUGUCUGUCUUAAAGCUUUUUAUUUUAACCCCAAAUUGGUUUUGAACCAUUGAGUGGAAAUUAGGUAUAACAAUGCUAACAUCAGAUUUUUGUUUAAGAAGAAAGAUCCAUGUAACCCGAGUGCAGUCAUUAAUUAAGGAUACAAACCAACGAGCCCCAGAAACAUUAGGUAUAGUCGAAGGACCCCAUAUGUCACUAUGAAUCAAAUGAAAAGGAUGAGAACUUUUUUUAUUGCUAAUAGGAAAAGAUACACGAGUAUGUUUUGCCAAUUCACAAGUUUUGCAAUGAAACUCAGAAAUAUUAAUCCUUGGAACAAAUGAGGAAACAUGACCUUUAAAACCCUAAAAGAUGGAUGACCUAGACGUAGGUGAUACAACCAAAUGGUAUCUUUAUUUGAGGAACUGAGAAGAGACAACGACAAAUUAUUACUAGUUUUCUGAGAUGAUUCAAGGUGGUAAAGACCGCUCAUUUCCUUAGCAAGUCCAAUCCUCCUCCCCGAGCCUUGUUCUUGAAGAACACAAUAAGAAGGGAAAAAAAUAGCAUAACAUUUAAGAUCAUGGGUAAGCUUUUGAAUGGAAACAAGGUUGACCGACAAUUUUGGUACAUGGAGGACAUUUUUAAGAAUAAGGGUAGGUGUGAUGUAUAUGUCUCCGAAACCUGCAAUGGUAACUAAAGAGCCAUUGGCCACUACAAUUUUCUUGUUACUUGGGAUUGGGGUAUAGGUAUUGAAAAGUUGAGAUUUGGAGGUCAUAUGGUCUGUGACACCGGAGUCUAUUAUCUAAGAGUCAUCAUAAACUCUGUGUGAGACAUUUAUGCAAAAAGAGAAUGAAGGUGUACUUGAAUUUUCCAACAUUUUCCACGAAAAAGCCUGAUCUCUUGGAAUUAAGGCAGAUUGCGAAACAAAAAAAUCAACAGCAAUGAAGGCUGGUAAAAGAACACGUGAAUAAAAAAAAUCCAGCUAUGAAGGCCAGAAAAAUGGCGAUGAAGGCCAGAAUGAUGCCCAGGUCUUAAAAACCUACAGCUCUGAUACCAUGACACGAAAUAUGGGAUGAAAAAUAAUAAGUUCUCUCUCUAUUAGAUUGACUAUACACAUGGUUUAUAUAGGAGAUUACAAGAGAAGAAAUAGGAAACAAGAGACAUAAUAGGAAACUAACUUAUUCUUAAACUAACCUAUUUCUAAAUCAUAAAACUAUCUAUUUACAGAAAUAGGAAACUAAUAAACCUAUCUAUUUACAUAAAUAAGAAACUAACAUAAUAGGAAAAAAAAUUCUCCUAUUCUAUUUAUAGCUCAACAACCAAAAACAUAUACAAGUAGAUAUGUUUUGCCAAAACUUAGAACUAAAAGUUAUACUUAAAAAUUUGAAAGAUUUAUUUUGUGGAUUUUAUGUUAAUUUAUAUAAAAAUAUCAUAUUUUGUUAAGUUUUUCUGGGUAACAGCAGAAAAAUAAAUCAAAAUUAGGAAAAGAAAAAAAAAAGAUUAUUUGUGUGAAAAGUUACUAUUUAACAAGAAAAAUGGGGUGGGACACUAAGGCAUUGGUGAGAAUUUUUCAAACAACAAAAAAAUUAGAUAAUUGAUUUAAUAUUUAAAUUAUUUAAAAUACGAAUUCAUAGACUUUGAACUUCAUUAUAUAAUUGAAAUUUUAUUCUUUUAUGUUUGAAAUUUUAUUCGUUUAUGUUCUAAAAAAGGUUAUGAGCUUGAUUUGAUAUUUAUAACAAAAAUUUAUAUAAUUCAAUUAUCUUUUAAAUUUUUUAUACAUUUUAAAUUAUAUUGUAAUAUUUACUAAUUCUAAAAAUGAUAGUUUCAAAAGGCUUAUCUCUUAGCACUUCGAGGCUUAUGCCUUAACACUUCAAGGCUUAUGCCUUAAUACUUCGAGGCUUAUGCUUCACCUUAGGGACACAAAAACACCUUGGCUUAGGCUUUUGCCUUUAAAAACUUUGGGUAUUAGGGAUACAACAUUGUGCCUCAUACUUCCAAAGAACCAAUUGGCUGUUCAUGUGCUGGCCUUUUCAAACCUUUUUCUAAGUUUGUUUAUUCACAUAUCCACAUAACAAUGAAAGAUUAUAAAAACUGAAAUUUUAUUUAGUUGUAUGAACUGGAUGCAACUUUUGAUACUCUCUUAGUUUUGAUUUCAAUCAUCUCAUUUUGUUUUAUGGCCAAUACCUAUUUUCUUGUAAGAUUAAUAUUAUAUUAUCUAAUACUUUUUGUGGGAAUUUGAGCAGGCCUUUCAUCCAAUGGGGGACUCAAUAGGGAUCACUUUCCUCCAGAUGUGGCAUUUUAUGUCCAAGGAAGACCUAUUGAAGCUCACAGGAUCAUCCUAAGUGCUCGGUCACCAUUCUUUAAAAGAAAAUUUGAGAGUGAUUGGAAAGAUCGAACAGAAGUAAGAUUCUCAAGGGAAAAAUUGUCUUAUCCUGCUCUAUACAGCCUUAUCCACUUCUUUUAUUCUGAUAGAUUAGAUAUUGCAGUAGAUGACAUGGAAGAUCUUGUGAGAAUCUGCAAGGUUUGCAAAUGUGACGCAUUACAAAGGGUCCUAGAGAAAGAAUUAAUUCACCAAAAAUAUGCAGAGUACAAAGCACUGAGAGAUGUAGACAACUCUCAGAAACGAUUUAUCUUACAGGGUCUUUCCCUUCCUGAGGAAGACCGGCUUCCUGCUGCCUUGCAUCGUAUCCUUCAAAUAUCCCUUGCCAAGUCCAACCAGGAACAUAACCUAGAGAAUGGUGUUAGUAAAUUAGUAUCUUGUGUUGGUGCAAUGAAAAUGGGUGGUUCUGAUGAUCUUGCAGAUGUUUGUAUAAAAGUUGACAAAAAGGUCUUUCGUUGCCACCAAGUGGUUUUAGCAGCAAGAUCAGAGUACUUUAAAGCAAGGCUAUCCCGUAUGAAGGAUUUUCUUGAAGGAAUAAAUGGGUUGCCAAAUUAUACUCUUCCAUGUCUUGAAGAACAUGACUUGAGCAUGGAGGCAUUUGAGAAAAUGAUUGAGUAUAUGUAAGUCCUUUUCCAUUUUUUUCAUUUUUAAAUAAGAGAAAAAUUGUGAAUCAGAAUUCUAUGAGGGUACAACUGCCAUCUAGAUGUGGCCUCCUGGUUGCAACACUAUAUAUCCUACACAUGCUGAACAAUGUUUGCAUUACUCGUGAGCAUAUUUUAUACAAUGGCUUCUGAUACACAAACACCUCAAAUUUAAUUAACAGUUUUUGCAGUUUUCAAUGCGGCUUAUUUCAAUGCGCUUCUUUCAAUUCUUUUGUUGGUUCAGGUAUACUGAUGGUUUGAAGGAUAUGGACCCUGAUCAGGUACAAAAUUAAUGAUUUGGAUACGCUUGGAAUAAUGUGAUCGUCCUUGUUAUUAUAUGCUUAUAUUAUUUAUUGAGCAGGCAGAAGAAUUGUUUGAUGCUGCUUCAAGGUAUUUGUUGUUUCCUCUUAAGCGUGCUGUUGCUGAUGCGCUGAUGCCACAUCUGGAAACGGUUCCACCAGCAGAGUUAUGCCAUUGGCUCAUAUUAUCAGACAUGUAUGUCAUUUUUAUUUAUCUAACUUGCUCCUUCUCAAAUAUCUUGAUAGAUAUCUGGAUUGAUGGCAAUUGUACUGGGUGUUAGAACUUGGCAAAUUAUAUACUUGGGGAGAGAAGAUACUGUCUAACUCAUUUAAUACCAAUCAGGUGCCUAGAGUUGACAACCUCUUGAACAGCACAGCCCUUAAUGAACCCUGCUGAAUGGAUCCCUGUUAUUAUAUUUUGCCUACUUGACACCAGAAGUUACUGCUGUUUCUUACCCUUCUAAGGCUGAGCCCUUGAUUAAGAUUUUCUUCUCAUUUAGAUAUUCUAGACUAGGAAAAGGACUAAGAUUCUUACCCUUCUAAGGCUGAUUCAUGAGUUGGUCAUCCUGUCAAGACCUCAAUGGGCCACUGAGAAUUCAGUUCUUCUGGGAGAUCAACUUUCAUUGUUCCAGACAUCAUUCUUGUCAUCAUUAAAAUUCCCGUCCCCAUUUUUUUUUCUUUUUCUUUUUCUUUUUUGCAUAAUUGAAAGCAAAAAAACAAAGGAAAUUGUCUUCUUUUUUUUUUUUUUUGUGAUAGAUAUAGGAAAAUGUCAGUUCUUUACAUGUUGCAACAAAAAAAAAAAAGAAGGAAAAAGUGAAGGAACCUAUGCUUGUUCCCGCAAGUGAGCAAGGAUCAUAUUAUCCCUCAAUUCCCAUGUCAGUUCUUUACAUGUAUUCAUCAGAAUUCCCAUCUGAUAAUCCACUAAGAGCCCCCUAGGUAUCCUACUCUCCGAUGAGGAUACCAUUUUCUAGAUGGAGUGAUAGGAGGUUGGAGGGGCUUGGGGACUUUGCAUUCAACCAUAUAAGUUGGAUACAGAAUGAUCCUUUGACUGAAUUUUCUUUUACAUUACUAAUUUUCAAUUUUGGUAUUGUGCUGUUAAAGUGGUUUGGCUGCCUGUGUAGGUAUGGGGUUCUGAAGAUAAGGGAAUAUUGCCUGGAUGUGAUAGCAUGUAACUUUGAGACAUUUGCUGAUACUCCAGAGUUCAGAGCAAUGCUCUUGACCCUUCCACCUCCAUCAGGAGAUUCCUCGCUACGUACCACUGUUCCAAGUGCUCCAGGAGCUGGGAUGAAUACAGACCAAGGAAAUCUUCUUGAUGAUUUGCGAGAGAAAUGGCUUGAGGCUGAAGCUGCUGAGCUUGAUAAGAGAGAUGAAAGUGCAUUGCAAUUUGAUAAGCGCCUAGAGAUGCUUGUGGUUGUAGCAGAACAAGAAAAUUCUGCUACUCACUGAUGAUAUUCAUGACUGCUCCAGAUGAGACAUCUUUUCCCUGUCUUCUCUAUCCACAAUAGUGAAAACCAAAAAAUGCAAAUGUAAUUUUUUUUUUCUGAUAUAUAUAAAUAAAUACUCUUUGUUGUAGUAGCACAAAUUUGUAACAGGAAAUGGAAAUUUUGAUUGAACAGCCUCUGAGUGCUUCAGUUGGGUUUUUGUUAGUUUCUUCAUUCCAGUAUCCAUGAACUUUGUUGUUUUCAUUUCAAUAAAUAUUUAAAGAAAACUAAAGAGACUCCAAGUUUCUACAAAAAAUGUGCAAUGUGUCUGAGGGAGGGGGCGCAAAGGUGUGGGUUCUUUAUACUGGUUUUGUGCAUGUGCAAUUUUUAGGUUUCAUCUAGACUCAAAAUUUUGUUUCGUUUCACCCAGUGUCAUAUAUGGAAAACACUUUGCAAAGGUUUACCACCAUCACAAGGUUAUUGAAUCGAUCAGUAUCAUGAACUUAUAAUAGUCUUCCUGUCAAGCAUACAUUUGGUCCAAGGAAAUAGGAAUGAAAAGAGGGUGGGAAUGAGAAUGGUGAGAAUGGAGGUGUUACAUGGAAAUAGUAACGAAAAGGGGCGAGAAUGAGAAUGAUGGCAUAUUAUAAUACCAUGUAGAAGAAAAGAAUCAGAACUCUAGCAAAAGUGAGACUUAGUUUUCAUACUAUUUAUUUUCAUUCUAAAAUACAAUCCAAACACAUUAAUGAGAUUAAUGAGAAUGAAAUUGAUUUCGCAUUCUCAUUCUCUAUUACAACAUUCCGAAUGUGACUGAAGUAACUUCUAAGCAUCAUCCUUCACCCAGGAGAAAUUGGAGUCAGGCAUAAGUAAUCUUGGUAGGGGUCUAGGCUGUGAGAAUUGAGCUUUAAGAUUUCACUAAAUUGCAUGGCCCUAUAUCCAUCCUCAGAUGAGUCAACAAAUAGAUCCAUGAUGGCUUAGCUUGACUUGAGCACUAGUCUAAACACUGUUUGGAAGUAAAUAAAAUAGAGAAUGUUACAGGUACCUGGGUUGAUGAUAAUUCUGUGUCAACAGAAGUAGCAAGAUCUAUAACCCAAACGGACUCCUCACCUUUGUUAUUCAUUGUGAUCAAUGUAAGUAUCAUCAAAAGAAUAUAUCAAUCAAAUCCAAACUCUACAUAACAAAAAUUUACAAGGCCUUUUCUCUAUUCUGUCCCUCUACUGUGGUUUACAAGCUCAUUUAAGAACUCUAUAGCAUAAAUGAUGAGCGACCUUUCCUGUUUUCUUGGAAGGACAAAAGGAUUCAGAAAAAAAAAAAAAAAUUUGGCUAAGUUUUAGUCAUUCUCCAUCAGGUGUUUCCUCUUUUUCAGCCCCAGGAGUUGGUUCCUCUUUUUCAUCCCCAGGAGUUGGUUCCUCUUUUUUGUCCCCAGGAGUCGGUUCCUCUUUUUUGUCCCCAGGAGUUAGUUCCUCUUUUUCAUCCUGUGAAGCAGGUUCCCCACUUCCUACAUGUGGGGAGAGAGCAGAAUCUGAAGCAGCAGCAUCAAUGGUCAAAUUGGACUCCUCAGCAGCCAGAGCAGUUUCACCCUCCCCAUCCAGUUCUGGAGAAGCAUCAGGAGUUUUGUUUUCUUCAUUCAGGAUCGACUCUAACUCUAAUUCACUGCCUGGUUGCUGCAGGCUCCAGUACAUGAUGCUUGCCGUUAAGGUGAGGAUCAUCUUCUGGUUAACCUGUUAUAGAGAUGCACAGGAGAAAAACUUGAAACUCAAACCAAGUGAUGUAUCAAUCCAAUAAAAGUGGUAUGCCAAUUUCUCAAAAGAUCCAAUUGAUAUCAGGAUAAUUGCAGUUUUAGGAAGGAAAAUAUGAGCAGGUGUCUGUUGAACCCAGCUCACAUGGUACUCACUUAUAUCCAUCAUCUUCACUUACUCUUCAGACAGUAGCUGAAAGGUGGAAUUAUAGAACUUGGUCUGACCCAUUACAUCAAUCAGUUCAAUGGCUGAACUAUUUACUGGUUCAUACCACUUGAUUAUAUACUAAAAUUACUAAAAUGAUGCUGAAGUCCUAGAAGUUUAUUCAUGUCUAUUUGACAUAGGAACUCCACAUAGUGGAGGGAUUAGAUAGGAUCCUUGGUAUCUAAAUUACCAGGUCAUUUUCUCAAAUUGAGAGGCAAAGAUUUAUAAUCAGAAAUCUUGCUGACCUGUACUAGCCACAACAGUAUGCAGAAGAUAGGGCAGAAACACCCCAAAAAAGGGGGUUAAAAAUUGCCAGACUUCAGAGAUGUAAUUAGACAAGCUCAUCAAAACUUACCUCCAUGAUGUCUUCAGGCAGCAAGAAAAGAGAACACCCAAGCUUUCGCGCAACACUAAUUAUAUAUGUUGCAUUCAACUUCUUGUCCUCAUCUGCAUAUUCAAUUACAAUAGAAUUCUUUUUUGUCAGUUUAUCAUGGAUAGAAGAUAUCAUUCCACUUGGACAUGAGUUUUAAGGUCAUCCACUCUGAAAAGCCAGAAAAAAAAAAAGUUGCACAAUUGGUGCAUGCAUUUUCUAGUGAAAUGAAAUGAUCUUAAUGUCCAUAAUCUAUGCCCAAAAAUAAAUUAUUUCAGCUCAAGAACUAUGAAAAUCAAAAUUUCCUUGUUUUCUAUAAUGACGUACCACUUUCACCCUUUGUAAUAAGGUUCCAGUUGACAACCCUUGGCUCCACAGCACUAAGAAGCUCAAGGAAGAAAAUCCCAUUCGAAAGGUUCUUGUCCUAAAAAAGGUUGUUGCAUCAAACACCUAACAAUCAAUCAUCAGUUAAAUUUACUAUAGCAUAAGAAGUCAAUGCAUGGAAGAUUACCUUAAAGCUUUCCAUUUGAGAAGUCCUGCCUGCUCUCUUUACUUUGUUGUUUGCCCAAUUUAGAAUGACAGCAUCUGUUAUCUCCUUUCCUUGGGAGUGAGAUCUCAAGUUUUUCAGUAGUUGGAUCAUAGAAAACCUCAUCAGCUGCCACAGGAAAGCUGGAGCAGGAGAAAGAGAUAGAGGUUAAGGAAUUGAAAUUUCCUUUGGUCAACAGUUGAAGUGCCAAUAUGAACCAUAACCUAGUUCAAUUUUUAUAUUUUUUUACUAGGACGCAAACUGGUAAGAAUAUUUAGAGGGCAAGAAAUUAUUUCAAAAAUUUCAAGAUACGGAUUAUGCAAUGAAAGCUAAGCAAGUCAGAAGAGCAAAAGAAAAUGAAGAGGUCCUUAUGUCAAUCUAAGGCAAGAGGGCCUACUAAUGUUCUUUGAAACAUCCAUAGGUUAUGGCAUUAUCAUGGGAAAUGUUUGUUAAGCCCAAUCUUUUUGCCAUCAAGACUGAAGAACUGACAAUGGGGUCAGAUAAGUAAAUUGUGGUUCAAUGUAAUCUGACGAAGGACAAAACUUUCAUGUGCACAGCCAGCCAUCUCCAAAAUAUAAAUAAAAACAUAAAAACCAAUAGAAAACAGAUAUAAUCAUGUCAUAUCAGUAUAUUGUAUACAUUCAUAUGCUUGCUCAAACCAUUUUGAAAUUUCAUCUUGCCAAUCCAAACUCUAGUUUCAUAUUUGAGAAGACAUAUCCAAAAGCAAUUAGAUAGCCUCAUUAGUUUCUAAAAUUAGCCAUUCAGUUAAUGAGGGAUGGAUUUGAGUAUGCAGUUAGUUCACAAUAAGAACAGUAAACUCACUGCCCCUGCACAACUUUCCUACAAUAUAACUUAAAGCUGAACAACUUCAACUAGUACAUUAACAAAUCAUGUAUAGCCAACAAAGAAUACAAAACCUAGAUGAAUAAAUUCAAAGGGGCAGAACUAACAAGCCAGAUAAUAGUAGUUGGUGGAGGAAUAAAAAGUUCAAUAUGACUUCGAUCACUUACCUAAUAUGAGCUUCUUAUUUCCUUGCACAAAAUCAUUUCCAGCUACAUUGACAAGGGAGAAUUUUAAUUGUUUCCCAAUCCUUAUAAUUUGGUUGCAAUUCUCAACUUUUCUAAAUGGCAUCUUAAUAGGAGGCUUUGAUGCUUGCUUCCAGUGAACUGAUCCUGGAGAAAUUUUGUCAAGAAUUUCCAAAAGAACCCACCUGUAUGCAUGGGGUAAACAUCAGGUUAAAAUGGGCUUAAUAUUGUUGCAAAGAAACAGAAGUCUUACCCAUUUCUGACAUCCUCAAACAGAUUAUUGCAAUAUGUACCAAUACCAUGACUGUUAAUCCAUAGUCGAAAGCAUCUCUCUUCCCUUGAAGUUUGUGCAUCAUCUGUCAUCAUCUCAGCGAAGGACAUCUUACUGCUGUCUGCAGACAGGCCAUUUCUGCAUAAAAGAUUGAUACAGUGUUAUCACUAAUUCUUGCACUUACUAUUACAAAUGCCCUAAAAUAAAUGUCAACAAAUAUGACAAUUUUAAUAAUAAAUAGUAAAAAAUAUCCAGAGAAAAUUGUUUGGCGAUUAAGUUGCACAGAAGGAUGAUAAAUCAGGAGAAGCUCCCAUGAGUUUGUACCAGAUGGCUAUUCAAGAAAUGGUGAAUGCAUUAGUGAGGGAGGACGGAAAGCAGCUAACAAUGGUUCAUUGUGUAUACCAUGUGGCACCAAUGAAUUUUACAACCCAUUGUUUCAACCAGAGAAACUAGUUUUUCUUGAAGGAAAAUCACUUGGUAGAUUAUUGUAGACUCAAUUGGUUAAUUUCUUUCUAAUUUUUCUCAGUUUUCUUUUUCCCAAGUCAGCUUGGAAGUGGCUCAUUGAAUUAAUUGGACUAAACACAAACAAAAAUGAGCAUACUACAGGACAGCUCCCACCAAUGGUUUUAAGACAAAUACUGACAAUAAAAUAACAUAAUCAGAAUUAGUUUUUGUUAUUUGAUUCUUGCUUUUUCCUUACCACAUGUUAAGAGACUGACCCAUUCCAUUUCCCACCAGACCCAUGUAGAUAAAUUAGCAAUGCAGUAACAUAGAGAUCCCCCAUAAAACAAAUUGAAUUACAUAUAACAAAAUUAUCGUGUUAUGAUACGAUAAAACUGAUAUUCAGGUGUUGAGAUUUCCAUAGCAGAAUCAGUUUGUAUGGGAAUCAAGAAGACCAUGAACCCAACAUAUGAAAGGAGCAACAACCAUAAUUUCCAAGUAAGAAGUUCACUGGCAUAUUAUCAACUUCUACUCUUGCAAAUGAAAAAAUCAGUUUACAAACAUAAUAUUGACUUCUAUUCUUAUCAUUGAAAAACGGUGUAAGCCCAUGGCUCAAUCUACAAAGUCUACAAGAGAAAUGCUUUCCUUGAAAGAAAUUAGUACUAAAAUGCACAUAGACGAGGCAAAAGAACUUUCAAAAUUCGUGGAAUAUUGGCUGUCAUUUUACCUUGAAAUGAAAUCACAAAUAUAAAUUGGUAUAGGUUAUUAGUUUUCUAGCAUUACUUGUUUAAACCAGUACCAGUCUUAAGAUGAAAAAAAUUACAAAAUCUGCAAGCAUAAAAUAAAUGAAAGGACAAAAUUUCACCUGUGAUGGAAUAUCUGUGCAACAAAUGCAAGAUUUAGAUUUGUUGAGCCCUCAACAAUGUCCUUUGGAGUGACAUAUUGUUUGCAAUCCAAUUUCUCUGCAUGUUCAAUGAUCAUUUUUGCUCUUUCAUUAGGAUCCUUAGUAUCCAGUGUGGAGGUGUUACAGUGUUCUGGUGCAAGAGCAUUAAGCAGGUAAGCAUAAGCCUCCCCAUCCUGCAAGUGUAUAAGCUUAGAAUGUCGUAAGAGGGAACAGAUGAUGCAAUUAUGAAACAGAUAGAAGCAUGAGUUAGAUGUGAUGCAUGCUGUCUUAUAAAAUUCUGGAAAAAACUAAAUAUUUACCUAGAUGUUGAGAGCAGAUAAAGGGACAGAAUGAGAGAAUCAUUUUUUUUUUUCAAAAAGUUUCUUCCAUUUCAUGGACUUGUAGCUUGGAAUUCAGGUUAUCAUCUGUGAAAAAUGCAUUUAUUUUUUAUGAUAAGAAACAAAAGUUUCAGUGCAUUGUGAGUACAAACAUAAUUCCAGAAUCUGCAUAUAAAGGUAAAGCUACUUUUAGAUGCUUCCUAACACGCUUGCAAGAUGUAGGAGCAAUAAGAUGUCAACAAUGGAGUUAGGGAAGUGAAGUUUAUAGCAGAAGUCACCUCAUGUAAAACUAAGCUCCUACAGCCACACUAAGCAUUCAAUUUUAUAUAUUGUUCUACCAUUAUUAAUUUACAGCAAUACUUUGUAGAGAAGCUUGAAUCAGAUUAAGGAGCACAGUUCUCCAAGCGAUCAAGUUUCAUAAAGUUCUUAAUUUAAAGAAAAUCAACUACUCUUAUUACUGAAAUAAACCAACUAAAAACUUGCAAAUAGGCAAACAUUUUGCUUACCUUCAGAUCAGAAGAAAAAUUUGUAACAGGUUUCUCAUAGCCUGCUUUCUUCAGAUGAAAAUUCAUCCAUUUAAGCAAAAGCUUUUCUGGGGCUAAACCAAUAAGCUCCUCCACUUCCUGCAAAAUUUGACAAAAUUGUAAACAAAAUGGUGCCACAAUUUGUUCCUAAGGAAAACAGUGAAAGAAGGAAAAACCAAUCAACAUCUCUUCACCUUGCUGUCAUCCACCAAUUCAACAAGUUCAGGAGUCUUCUUCAAGUUAAGAUCGGCUAACAGUUGGAUCUGAUAUUGCCACAAUAUGAAACACAACAAAAUUAAGGGUGAAAGAACUUGAGAACCAAAUCUUCAUGCCUCUGAAGUUUAAAUAUGAUUGUUUUGCUUCUCAUGGUGUUCUUCAAGGUUACUAUAUUCUAAGAAAAAAUAUCCUGUAAUCUGAAAAAAGAGAAUUCAGGCGAAAUACCUUGAUUAUUUGAGAAAUCAAUCCAACCACCAGAUGGUGCUAUAAACCAACAAAUUGGGACAAAAAAAAUAAAAAUAAAUAAAUAACAGACUCAGAAAUCUUUAGACUGCCAAAGAAGAUAUAAUAAUAGAAUCCAAAAGAUAGCUGGGAUUUGCUCAUGCAACUUACUCUUCCUUCUACCAAGUCUUGUGUACCAAUAUUAACUACAGUGCAUCCAAUAGCCUUUGCAGAGUUGAGGCAAAGAGUAUGGUUCUCAUUUCUCUCCCAAGGGUUAAGGAUCUGUUUAGUAUUAAUGGCUCGUUCAUCUAUUGUCCCGGGAACAGCUACAUUGAUAAGCUUACUGCAUCAAAUCAAUAAACACAUCAACAAACAAAAACCAUCUAUCUACACAGGGAAUUAGAGAAUUGUAAGCAAUCCUGCAUAUCUACCAGAGAAGAACUCCAUCUUUUGCAAGAUCAAAUAAAUCAUUUGUAGCAGGAUCUAAUGGAAGAUAUUUCUUCAAGAAUGGAUCUUCUCCCAAGUAAUUGUUGAUAUGAGCAACAUACGAGGCCCUCUCUGAUUCGCUAAUAGUGUGGAGAAGGGUGGUUGUUGUGGCCUUGAGGAAUGAAGAUGAAUGUCUCGUACCCCCCAGUUUUGCAGUAGCUCGUGCUUGUAAAUUCAGGUAUACCUGCUCAUUAAGAAAAUCCUACUAAUUGGUUCUUUUACUUUCCACUUAUUAAAUCAGCUUUUCAUACCCUACCACUUAAAAUCUACUUUUUCAUCAAUCAAACUCGAAGUCUAUGAAAAAUAACUUCAGAAAAUAACAAAAACUUGUCAUUUUGAGCAGCGCCUGCCCACGCCAAAAUGCCACUAAUUGUUUUUUUUUCAGUUUCCACAUCCACUUCCUUAAAAGCUCCAAUUGAUCCACUAAACAAGAAAUAUAUAAAAUUUUCAAAAUCCAGAGAAUGAAAAAAAAGGAAAAUCCAUGAAACCUCCAUCCUCUGGAGACUCACCCGAAGGAAGGAUUCGAAGUCAAGUUCAUCGUUCAUGUUAGAAUAGGACUCUCCCAAUAUAGCCCUGAUCUCCACCUCAGUAAGAAUUUUACCUAAAUCCUUUAACUUAACCAUGACUGGCAGCAAAUCUUCAACCGUUAGUUGACCUGAUUGAUUCCUUGCGGAGAGAAACUUCAAAUGCACGCAUUCCAUAUGUUACCCAAAAGUUGCCAAUUGAUGGAUAAUCUUCCCAAAAUUGAUAAAAAGAAAUCAAUAUCCAUAAAAUUGAGAAAAUCCUUACUUUAGAUUUGAGGCCACGGAGCUCCACUUGGGUGAACUGGCUUUGGAGCCAUGGAUCAGAAACAAUAACACCCACGUAACCAGACAUAUUUGCUGUUGAUUUACGUGAAUCCUCAACGCGAAGAAGAAAACUAAUUACCCGCAAGAACUGUAUCAAAGUCUCACCAAAUUAAAAAACAGAAAAAUGGAUAAGAAACGCCACACAUGAAAUUCAAUAACCAAACACUGGAACGAAAACACAACUUCAGAUCCAUAUUCGUGUAAAUGAAGAAAACCCAUUUGAGGAAUCAUACUGGAAAUGUAAACUAACGUGCAUGCAUGUCAAACGUCACCUUAUCUAAUUGAUUCCACUAAGGAACCAAAUCACCAACCGUUUGGUAGCCGAGAAAACUGAAGGAAAUCGAAAGGAAUAACGUUUUUGAAUGUCAUAUUACGCGCUGUAGUUCACAUACGAUAAAAACUCACCUUUCCGAAACCAAAUAGUCACAUUGUGCUCAAACAAAAAUCAAAGACUUAAAGCUUGAGUUCUCUGUGCUUUUUUUUAACUUUCUCGCCUACCAAACGGAGGGUAAGAGAAACUGAAAAUCAAAGACAGAAGAGGUAGGUUUGAGAGAAAAUAAUCAAAACCCACGUGGAAAAAUGAUGAAACGAACCUGGGAAACGUAGAGAAUCGCGAUAUAUUUAAGGGUUUUCUCAUUCUUUGAUAGCUCUGCCUUAUUUUUCAGAUACUAUUCAUUGUCUUCUUCAUCUUCAAAAUGAAGAGGGAGAGGAGAGAGAGGAGAGAGAAGAGAGAAAAGCGUAUUGCCUUUCGGAAGCGCGAAGACUGUGCUUUCUUGCCUUCUCUCUCAUUCAAUUUCCGUGAGGCACGGCCCCGCACCACCACCACCUCCUCCUCCUCCCAUAGCAAAAACGACGUCACUUUGGAAGUAAAGUCCACUUGGCAUAUCAGCAUCACACGUCAGCAUUUAGGGCUGGCCGCUCAUGCCACUAUGUUCACCUCAACAAAUAAAAAUAAUAAAAAAUAUUUAAUUAAAUUAAAUAAAACCAAUAUUAUAAAAUAUAUUUUUGGCCCAUGCAGGUCUCGAACCUGCGACCUUCGCGUUAUUAGCACGACGCUCUAACCAACUGAGCUAAUAGGCCAUAUUUUUUAAAUAAAAAUCUUUAUAAAUAUUUCCUCUCACUUAAAUGUAAUUUAGAGUAUUGGAUUAAUUAACCCUGCUCCUAUCAAACAAUCCUUUGAAGUUAUUAUUAAAUAAUGAAAAAAAGACCAAAAAGAAAAUUUAAAACAAAAAUUGUGCAAUCCCUUUUCUCCAUUUGUUUGAAGAGUCAUAACUUUGUCAGGUAGUCACGCAACAAGAAGAGUCCAUUGGUAUUAUGACAGAGUCCACAAACUUAAAUAGGAGAGGCCCACAUCAUGCAAAAUCUGCCUACGAGAAUUUGCAACAAUCGUACUUGUGCUAGGCAUCUUGUGUUGCUUUGGCACUUGAUUGCCUAACUUGUGAGAAUAUUUAUUGACACAUCAAGGUCUAAGCAGCUCCAUUUUAUUGCUGAGAAUGGCGAACUCCACCAACUCCAACAGGCUUAUAAUCUCAACUCAUACAUGUAUAUAUGAAGAUGGCAAACUCAUCCCAUGUCAACACUAGAUGUAUGCAUUGAACUGCUGUUAAUUGUUUGUUUUUUGGUCCAAUCCAAAUACGAAAGGCUACGUCUACAUGAAAGAGGGUGAACCGGUACAAAUUAUAUCAAAGUUAAUCCUAAAUACAAUUAGAACUCCAUCUCUUUAGCCUCAUUACGUCUGCAUUAGAAGAUAAUUGUAAUAUCCUACAUUGGAUACAGAAAAAAAUUCCCAACACUAUAUAUGUAAUAAACUUCUCUUAACUACGCAAGUUGUGAGGAUUUAUUGAGUCCAAAAGGGCAGGUCAUUAUACUAUCACAAUUUGAGAAUUCAAAGAUGAAGAGUUGUAAACUGCCAGUGAGAAAAGCAGAAAAGGAAUAGACAAUAAGGACGUGAAUAGCAUUGCAGAAAUUUCCAUAGUUAGGUAGGAUUUCAAAGUAUGAUGUGAGGGGAAGGUUUGGUAGGGAGGGAUACCACAUUUUUGUCAAAAACUAUAGUCGUGUGCAUAUGUGAUGAUAUAUCAUGAGACAUCAGCAAUUCACUUUCAUUACAGAGAAUUGGAGGUCUUUUUUACUGUUUCUCUCAUGAGUCCCAUCCCCAAGGACACCAACCAAAUGUAUGGGGGAAGAUUCAGUGAAAAGCACUAUUUAAACUGCAGUUUGUAAAGCUCAUGCCUAAUUAUUUACAACUUAAUGCUCUUGUAUCCUGUCAAAGAAUCAGGGAAAUUCCCAUCAUGAGAAACAACCUUAGCAGAAAGCUAAAGCAGAUAACAGAUGACAAAAAGACCAUUCAAUUGGUGAUCAUAUGCCCUUUCACAGUUGGACUGUAAUGAACUUAAAUGGUAGCAUGUUACAAGUUUGAAUAUAUGCUGGAGAUGAUGAUUGUCUCGAGAGCACAAGGACUGGAUGGAGAACAUGGAGCAUAUAACCAUUCCCAAAUGAAAACCAUAGCACAAACAAAAUGUCAUUGAAAUACAAGUAGUAAUUAAUACAAGAAAACUCACAUUCUCAUAGUUUCAGUAACAUAUGUAAUCAAAAAAUGGCUUGAAAUCAAAGCAAUGGAUAUACCCUCUUCAUAUAAAUUAAAGACUUGACAAAUCCUCUCUUAUAAGAACAAGACCAGCCCACCUGAAAUGGCCAAAACCAUCUGGCUCCAAACACCCAAGCUGAUUAUCCUAUAGGAAGAAGAUGGGGUUGAAGAUGCUCGAGGAGACCCAGCCUCAUCUGAGGCAGUUGGAGCAUCUGCAGCAGGGCUAAUGUCCGGAGCUGGUGCUGGAGCUGGGGUAGGAGGAAUGUCGGUGCCAAAGAUUGCUUCAGGGAGAAGGACCUUAUCAACUUGAUACACAGCCACAGGAUCUGUCGAAUGCACGCUGCUACUCACCUUGGUGUUAGUCCAUCCUGAGCCAAUGUGGACAGUCCCAGAGACAUCUGUAAAAUUCAAAGUGUACUGCCCACCAGCAAAUGUACUAACAGGGCUUAGUUGGCUGAGGUUCUUGAAGUCUGCUAGAGAGUAAUAGUGUGCCAAGGCAUGGAAAAGGAGGAGGGAUUUGAGUUGGUCUUCAGUGAGGUUGGAUAGAGAAGGCUUUUUAAGAGAUUUGAAGGCAUCAUCUUUAGGCACAAAGAUGGUAAUUCCUUCUUCAGUAUCAUUGGCUUGGUGUUGGAAGGUCUCAAUGACUUUGGUGGACACAAGGUAGUUAAGGAAGGUGUGGAAUGGACCAGCUACUGAGAGUAAAUCAGUAAGGUUCACAUAUGGUGGUGCCGGUGCUGGGGCAGGAGAUGGACUCAGUGAGGGAGAUCCAACCAUUUGAGCAUAGGCUGAUGAAGAGCAGAAAAGCACCAGAGCACAGAUAACCAUGAAAAUCCUGGCCAUUUUUUCUUGUAUACAAAUUUAAUGUAUCUUUUACAGUGACCAGACUCUCCAAAUUCCUGCAAGAACCAAAACCCAUCCACGGUUAGAUCCAAACCUGUCAACACAAACCCGUCAGUUAAAAUCCAACAAGCAGCACACAGUGUGAGUUGAGAAACCCCUAAAUUUCCCCCAAUUUUGAAAUUCCAUUUCCAAAGUCUGAUCAAAAUCCUAUUUUUUUCCCCUCCCCACUGCACUAGAAAGAGUUUUCUUUUUCAGAAACCCAACCCACCAAAUCUCUGCAAGAAUCAAAUAAAAAAAGAAAAAAGAAAAAGAACACAAUCAGCAUCAUGAAUAGUAAACCAAAGGGAAAAAUAGAUCUUGAUGGACUCGUUCCAACAAAAAGCAAGUCAAAAUAAGGAAGCUCAUUGCCAUCAGAGAGAGAACAUUUAAUAAUACAGUAAAUCAGUGACAAAGAUGAGAAGGAAAACGAGACUGAAAUGUGAAGACUAUGAAACCAUGAAUUGCAAGCAAAAAUCAGUUGAAAGGUGACUCAUUUCCUGGUCUGGGAAUUUCCCCACAAACCCAACUUGUUAAAACCCCCACACCACCGGCAAAACCAGAUCAAACUCCCAUCUCUGCAAGCAUCCCAUAUUUUUCUCCACAAUGUGUUUGCUUCCCCCAUUUUCCCACACCAGAGGUUUCCCAAGAAAACCCAGCCCGCAAAACCUCUAAAACAGCAAGAAAAUGCAGCUACAAAGUAAACAGAUCCAGAUCAACUCACCCAAAACCCACACUCAGGGAAAAAAGAGAAAAUACCCAUCAACAAAAAAGAACAAACAAACAAACAAAAAAUCACCAAAGCCCCUCAACAUUAUCCAAGAGCAGCACACAAAAUCAUAGGGAAGAGGCUGAAGAACGCUAACCUGACUAAGAGGAAUUCAGAGAGAAGUGGUGGUGGAGGAUGAUAAUGCAAUGGAGAGCGAAUCGUGGUGGGCAGACUAUAUAAAGAUGGAUUUAUUAGGAGGAUAACACUAUUGAGUGGGGGUGUUGGCAGCUGGUGAAGGGAAAAAGGUGGAGUAGUAGGUACAAAUUACAUGGGUGCACUUCUAACCUUGGAUGGUUCUUCUGCCUUAAGGUGAAAUAAACUAUACUUUAUUCCAAAAGACUUUUUCAGGAAGAGAAGCCAUGUAUUGUAGGGUGAGAUUUCCAAAUCGACUUCCCAACUAAUUAUUUUUUUAUAUUCUUGAGACACCACCCUUGCACUCUACCCUACCAUUAUCACCAUCUCUUCACUCAUUUUCUCAUGUUCUCAUCUCUUGACCAUUUCCAUUUUGUUGGGUAAGUACUCAAAAUGCGCUUUGCCGAUGAUCAUAUCAAGUGGGUAUAUGACAAAAUAUCAAUACAAAAAUGCUACACUGGUCAAGAUUCAUAAUUUGGAGUAUUUUAUGGGUUUUUUAAAGUGGGUAUAUAGCAAAUUAGCCAUACAAAUACUCACAAUGGGUUGCCCUAUUCAUUAGGAUCCUCUUUCAUACUUACCUACCAUAGGCCCACUCCAUUUUGAGCUAACACCUAUUUUGUAACUAAGCCUAGUCAUUUACAUUAAUGUUGAAUUGAAUAGGCAUGACAUAAAGCCAACUUGAUCUUUCCUUAUGAUGGAAAUCUAAAUAAAGGUAUAAAAAAUUUUACUCCUAAUUUCAUGAAAAAAAAAAUGUCGCAUGCUUGUCUUAUAUAAUUCAGUAACUUAAAGUGAUUUAAUAAUUUUAAAACGGGUUUUGUUAUGAUAUCGUUCAAUUUAUAUUACAAAAAUGUAAUUAAUUAGAUCAUAUCAUUUAUAUAUUUUAAAUUAUAUUAUUUUACAUUUUAAUCUUAUUAUUUUAUAUUUAAUUCCAUUUAUUUAUAUUUGUAUCUAACAAUCGAAAUUUCACUUUACAUUUUUAAUUAUUUGAAUUAUAUUUUUUUGGUUUGAUUUAGAACCUUAAAAUUUUCUUUAAGAAAAUUAAACCAUAAAAAUUUGUCAAUUUCUAUCAUAUGAUUCAAGUGACCUACAAAUUAUGGAAGAGAUCUCAUGUGACUCAAAUUUAUCGUUUGAAUAUUAUUUGUGUUUUUGAAAAUGUAGUGAUGAGGAAUUGAUAGAAUGGUAAAAAAUAUAUGACCCAACUUGGAGGUGAACUCAACCAGUGAUCUAAAAUCUCACGAUACGGUAGCCGAGAAGGAGAAGGAGGCAAAAUAUCGAGAUGAUUAAGGGGCUAGUAAAUCAAUGGUUAAAUGAAGUUGAAAAUCUCGUGGGUUGAGGGGGUGGGCCAUGGGUGGUGGACCCAACCAUGCUAUUUGGUCCAACAAGGAUUGGGCUGUUGGGCUGUUGUGCUGUCGCUCCCACCAGAAGCCAACUGCGUUCAAUGAUUUGGCAAACGUGCGCACCCCCAUUUUAAAUAACUACGCUCUACGUUUAUGUUAGCUUCAAUCCCUGUGCCCAGUGCCCUCUCAUCCCAGGCUGUUUCAACAACCGCGUCUCAGAACGACACCGUUUUCCAGGUGUCCCCGCCGACACACCCUUGCACCACCAACCCCACCACCCCCUAUGAGUAUGAGACAAGCCGACGAAUAUUCAGCUAGGCUUGUCAUUCCAUUGUUAUUCCGAAUUAUUUGAAAAUCAUGAAAAAACAAAAAUAAAUAUGAAACUUUUUUCUCAAUUUCCUUCAAAUUGAGAACAAAAAAAUUUGUAAUUAUUUUCCAAAAUAAUUCUUAAAAAUGAUUUUUAAUAACAGUUUUUGAAGACACGUGUACUUUUGUAGAAUUAAAGUCUAUCUCAUAUCCUAAAACAUUUUUAAACAUGUUUUAAAAAUAAUUUUUAUAUUUAUAGUUUUAGUUUUUAUCAUAAUAUAUAUUUGUCUAAUUAUUUUUUAAAUAAAUUUAAAAAAUAAAAAUAUUUUUUGAAAACACUCUAUUUUAUAUUUUUUAAAAUAAAAAACUUGAAAAUAGUUAUCGAACACGUCUUAGAGUAUCUCUUUCAGGAAAUUUUUUAAAAAUAAUUUUCCCAAAAAGUUAUAUAAAAUAUUUUUUAUACUUUUAAAAAUAAAAUUCUAUUUUAAAACUUGAAAUGUAUUUUAUUUAUAUUUUCAUGGUUCUAAAUAUUUUUAAAAAUAAAUUAUAUCCCUAAAAUAAUAUUUAAAGAUUUAGUAGUUGGUGUAUAAAGAAAAGGCUUGAGAUCGGGGGGAGAUCGAAAGUAUGAAAGAUUAAUAGGAACGUGGUGGUGGGGUUAGUCUAUUAAGUAACCAUAAUUAACAUAAUUAAAUGGAAAUUGACUUUGACAAUUAAGAUUUGUGUCAUAAACUAGGACGGUGGAUCGGCAAUAUCUCUUAGUCAACAAAUUUGUGGGUCAGGAUUAUGAUUUUGGCGCAUGAUCCUUGCUAAUUAGGAUAGGUUAAUCAAGGUUUAACGAAAUUGAUUACCAAGAUAAUGACACCAUACCGUGUAUUCAUUUUCCUCCACGCUCUUCAAACCUUACACAUCCAAAUCAAUUAUUUUACAUCAAAAAAAAUAAUUAUAUUUAAAAUUUAAUAACAUUUUUAUGAAAAGUUUAUGUUGUUUGUCCAAAAAAAGCUUUAAACAUUUUUAUGCUUUUUUGGAAUAAAAAAUAAUUUUCUAAUUGAUAUUUUUUUUUUUAGAAAAUAAUUGUUUUAAGAAUUUAUUCUUAAAGUAGAUUAUUUUUAAAGUACAUUUAGAUAUUUUUUUUAGAAUGUUCCAAGCAACAAUUGAAAAAACUUUCAAAAUUUUGUUCUUAAAAACCAUUAAAAUUUAUUUUAGAAACGUAUUUCUAAAUAAACCCAAAAAAAAAUCGUAUAUAUUUUUUAUUCCAAUUUUAAUUAUAAACUUAUAAAUUUUCAAAUUAUUUUUAUUACAUUUAAGUUUUCUUAAUAUUUUUCAUAAUAAAAUAAACAAGAGAAAUUACUUCUCUUUUUUUUUUUAAUACACUCCGUCAUCCAAACGGAACGUUAACACAUGGCUUUGAUGUCAUAGGCAUGUUAAUAGGAUUGGCUGUAAAGCCCCGUUAGGCGUAGGGAAGCUGUCAUAAAAGGAGUGAAGUGUAGUUAAACAAGUACACAAUUCAAACCUUGAAUUCAUGUCCCCACUCAUUGCUCUAAGGCCAGUUGGUUUUUUUUUUUUUUGCCUUUAUUCAGGGCAUAAUCAGGGCACAAGAAACCUAAUAGCUUAUAUUAUACCCAUCUCAAAAUAUUUAUCAAACUAAUCUUUUUGCAUUCAUGUAAGCAUCUACAUGAAUUUUUUUUUAAGUGUGUAAAACCAUCAUUGGUGACUGUAGUUUUAAAAGUUUCAGAAAUAUCCUUAAAACCAUAAUUUGUGACUGUGGUUUUACAAUUUUCCUUAGAAUCACAGUUAAUAACUAACUAUGGUUUCAAAAUUAUUUUUAAUCCAUCUAUGUUUUAAUUGUAUUAUGAUUUUAAUAUUAUUUUAAAAAUAUUUUUUUACCAUAAUAACUAUAAAACCACUUUUAUUAAGAAAUAACCUAAAAUCAUAAUAAUUGGCAUUAAUUUUUAUAUGAAAAUAUAAAAUUUUAAAAUAAUAUAAAUAAUUUAUUUAGUUAUUUUAAAAUUUUAAAAAUAAUAUGAAAAAAUAAUCUUCUUUGAUUCAUAUAUGAUAAAAUUCAUAAAACAAAUAAAUAUUUUAUUUACCAUAAAUAUAUAAAUUUUUAUAGGAAUGCAGGCAAAAUUAUUUUCUCAAAAUUUUAAGGAAAAUAUGAAAAAAUAAAGAUAAUAUAUAUAUAUAUAUAUAUAUAUAUAUAUAUAUAUAUAUAUAUAUAUAUAUAAUUUUAAAUUAGUCGUAAAGAAAAAUUUUAUUAAGGAUAAUUUGUAAAUAAAAAUAAUUUUAAAUUGACAAUGGAAAAUUAUAAGAAAUUUUUCCCACUCCAAAAAGAAUUUUAAGAAAUCUGGUACAUCGUUAAGAAAUUUUGGUACAUCCAUAAUUUAUACUAAAAUUAAAAAUAAAAAACCAAAGUUUUAAAAUCUCAUAUUUUUUUAGUUGAUGUAUGGUUACAUGAGUUCCCCUUAAAAUAUUUGUAAAACCCCACGGUUAGUAACUGUGGUUUUAAAAAAGAAAAAAAAUUGUAAAACCACAUUCUAUGACAAUGAUUUUUAAAGAUAUUUUCAAAAUUUCUUACAAUUUUCCAUUGUCGGUUUAAAAUUACUUUUUUUUACAAAUUACCCUUAAUAAAUUUUUUCUUUACGACUGUUUUAAAAUUAUAUGUAUAUUAUCUUUAUUUUUUCAUAUUUUCCUUGAAAUUUUUUCAUAUUAUUUUUAAAUUUUAAAAUAAUUAAAUAAAUUAUUUAUAUUAUUUUAAAAUUUUAAUAUUUUCAUAUAAAAAUUAAUGUUAAUAAUUAUGAUUUUAGGUUACUCCUUAAUAACGAUGGUUUUAUGAUUAUUAUGAUAAAAAAAUAUUUUAAAAAUAAUAUUAAAAUCAUAAUACUAUUAAAACAUGGAUGAACUAAAAAUAAUUUUGAAACCACAGUUAGUAACUGUGAUUCUAAGGAAAAUUGUAAAACCACAAUCACAGACUGUGAUUUUAAGGAUAUUUAUGAAACUUUUAAAAUCACAGUCACCGAUGAUGGUUUUACACACUUAAAAAAAAAAAUCCAUAUAGAUGCUUACGUAAAUGCAAAAAGAUUAGUUGACAAAUACUUUGAGAUGGAUACUAUUAUUAUCAUUUUUUUUCUACCAAUGGAUUAUUUUGGACUUAAACUCAUGGAUUGAUGGAGCAUGGAGGAUACAGACCUUGUUUCAUAUGAAUCAGACCCACUUGCCUGCCUACUAUACCAAUAUUGAAGACGAUGGAGAAAGAACAAGAACGACCUAAAAAUUCAGGUGAAGCUUUCCCUUUUAUUGAUGGAAAAUGAAAGGACUUUUUGCAGAAUCAAAGGCAUUUGCCCAUUGGGUCUUGUUAAACAGCUUGUUUGGAAACUGGCCUCUGGAAGAAAAUGAAGGGGUGAGCUGACUGAGGAAGCAGGCAGUGAUGAGUCAAAUAAGUUAAUGAGGGAGCUUUCCUGUUCUAAUGCUCACAAAGAAGUUAUUGUUCCGUUCGGUUCAUGGGGUUGCCCAUUCUUUCCGGAUGUCAAAGGUGUAGUUGAUCUCCAAGUAGCACUUGUUGUCAUCGUCAAGAAACUGGACAGAAAGAAAAACCGAAGCCCCAUUAGCAAAAACAUAAUCAAGACCAGAAAAAGUAGAGUUAGUGGUGGCCAAUUCGACUCCAUUGCUUGCAUAGGAAGGUAGGUGAUCUAGUCCUUUUCAUACAGCUCGGAUCCAGUUCUGGGGCUGAAACCGAACAAAACUAAGGGCUAUGCCAUGAGGUAAGGGCAUCAUAAAGAGUUAUGCAUGGUCCACAUUUGCUACAAGGAUGGCCAAAUGAGACUAUAUUUGAUUGACCGGGUGUGGGAUCACAUGUUGAGGACAGAACAGCAGAUUGGGGAAGAAGAAUUCGCGUUCAUGAGAAGGUUCUUCAAUGUUUCAUAUCUAACAAAAGGAAAUGUCCCCUGAGGAACUUACCUUUGAUCGCGCUGAAUAUGAUCCUCUAGCGAAAAAGCCAGAAGGGGUGAUUUCUUCAAGCAUCUCAUGUGUGUAAGGUUCAGCCUGUGGACUAAAGGUGCCAAACAUCUCCUUUGAGCUGUCCACUGAAGAAAGAUUUGUUCAAGAGUGAAAUGUUCAAGUCUUUGGAGGUUUUAAAUGUCAAUAUGAGCUAGGAUGCAGAUAGCUAAGCUUACCCUUCAUACCGGUUUUCCAAACAGUGUUCGUAUAUCUGAGGCCAGAUACAAUGUUAUUGCUCACUUGGAAGGAGAAUUUCAAUUUGUAAUGACUACCUUCUUCCAAACUGAACCAUAACCCCUUGGGUUUUCCAUCUUCUGGGAUAGGAAGAACAAUGUCGGGUCUACCAGGAGAGAUGAUUGACAGACUAAGGAUCCUGACUUCUGGUUCAAGAGUUUCUGCAACCAAAUUAAACAAUAUACAAAAAUUUACUAAGUAGAAAAGAGAAAAACAAAAGUUGAUGGUUCCUACUUAGCAUUUCAGCAGGGAAAGAAUGCAAUGAACACUUUUCUAAAUUCUAGGCACUGAUAAUCAACUGCAUAAAAAGUAAGACCAGCUUUCUUUAAGAAGAAGUAUGAUGAUAGGUUUUUCUUUCAGUAUCGGCGUAAAAACUUCUGCCCAAUUUCAACGGUAAUCUUCUGCUCAAAUCAUGGAUGGUUGAAUGUUACAUAUUUUACUAAUGGUAUAAUUUUCCAUUUUUCAAGCUCAAUCUUCUGAGAAAAACCAAGAAAAAGGAAACCCCCAAUAAUAGUCUAAAAUUGACAUCCAUAGCAGGCUAGCGGCAACCAUAGACUCGAACUCUGUUUGGUGUUACAGAAAGGUUGAUCCUGGAAAUAGUAUCAAGAAUCCUCAAUCUAUGUAUUGCUUACAGCAAUUGAAUUCUGGGUUGAAAUCAAUCCAAAAUUUUCAAAAUUCCAGAAAAUAAUUCCCCUCUUUCUUUUUCAAAGAAAACAGGUUGAAAUAUUAACUUUAAUUAUAAUGCAUCAUGCAAAUUCUUCUAAGAAUAUAGCUUAAGCCAAAGUUAGAAUCAACACCAUGGACCCACUUCUUUUCCUGCUUGAUUUUGAGUUUUGAACAUGAAGAUUAAAGACAGAAAUCAGAAACCAACAAGGGAAAAGCAAUACAAUGAAUCCAUUUCUGAAAAUAGACAAUUACUAGUUUUGCCUAGUCAAGAUGAUCUUGGGCCCUUUAACUUGAUUGGAACACAUUGUAAAAAUAAAUAUCCAACCAAAAAAUUUUUAAAAAAUUUGCUUGAAGAUAUGAAAAUAAAGCUAAGAUGCCCACAUUUGGUACCUUCUGAUGCAUUAUUGGAGGUAAAAUAAUAGGAAUAUAUGAGUGAAAAUAGGCAGGCAUUUAAAAUUUCUGCCCAGGAAAAAGCAAUAUUAGUAUAAGGAAAAUUACUGGAAGUGAACAAUAUCCUGCAACCCCAUAAUAAUAUAGAUAUAGAACUAAUUUUUGGUCUUAUUUGCUAUUAUUAUUGCAGUUUGACCCUUUAACAUGAAGCAAAGAAGAUGAAAUUAAAGGAACUCAAAAGCCAAAUUGGAUAAGUUCACAAAAGGCAGAUAGAUAGUAAGAAGAAAAAUAUUACCUCCAACAUUUUCCAAAUCCACAGUCCCAAGAAGCUGUUCCUUCCACCUCCUCAGACUCUCAUCAUCCUUAACACACAAAAUUGACCCAACAAAAGUGCAUCAUUACACUUCUACUUAAACCCCAACCAAAAAAAAAAAAAAAGGAAAAAAAAAAUCUAACUAUAGAACAGGAAACAGAUGGAUUGAUUUAUUUUUUAAAAAAGCUUUUAGGGUUGGGUUGGGGAGCCAGCAAAAACAAACCUUGUCCUUCUCAAGCUGUUCUUUGAGGGUGAAUUGAGGACCCAACUUUAUUUUUCUUUCCACUUCUUCCUCCUCCUCCUCAGCUGCAUUCUGAGAAGACUCAUCAACACCCACUUGAUUUGCUGACAUUGUUUCUGAUGUUUUUGUUUCCAAAGCUCCACUCUUGUCUCCAGCCUCCAUCUUUUCAUCAAACCCCAUGUUGUUCGAACUUCCCACAGCUCCAACAGCCAUAUACUCUACUCAUCAACGGUCACAGAAUGAAAACCCCAGAAGACCACUUCACCAAAAUGACCAACUCAUAGCUUUUGUUCCAUGAAAACAAAACCCCACACCCACAAAACAAAAACAAAGAAAGACUUGGUUCAUGAAAAACAGAGAAAGUGGGACGACCGAGCCAUGGAAAAAAGAAGAAGAACGAAAUCGAAAAACAGGAUUUAUUUUGUGAAAGGACUUGGUGCGUGAAAGAAAGAAUCUCAGAAAGGUAAUAAUUGUCAAUGUCCUAAAAACCCAGGAAAUAGGAAGAGACAGAGGGAGAGAGACCCACCAAAAAGUGAGAGACAAAGAGGGAACUGGGUUUGUCUUCUUGCCUUGUGUGUUGGGUUGUUGGGACUUGGGAUAGAUAAAUGGGGGAGAGUUCAAUCACAGGACGAGUGAAACGGCCAAGAGGUGAUCCGAUAAGAGAGAGAGAGAGAGGAGAGAGAACGUGAAUGUCACUAUCGCAUUUGCAUUCACGAAAUCAUCAGAAUCCUAAAGCAGAACUAGGAUUGUGGGGACUGCUUUAGAAUUGGAAAAGGCCUUGGCCAUAGGGAUAAUGCGUAGGUGGUCCGUGGUCCUCCUCAUGCCCCCCAUUCAAUGCUCCUUUUUCAACCCUCUCUUCAACCUCAUAAAAUUCUAUUGUAUCUAUUCACUUUUGAAGGCGUUUGAUAAAAAAUUGUGAUAUCACUGCAUAAAAUUUUGUAUUGUUGAAAACAGAGUACAUGCCAGUUCUCCCGCAUUUCAAUACUAUCAGUUCAUACUCAUUGUAGUGCGAAAUCGUAAUAUAUAGUCAAAUGCCAAAGGUUGGCCUGGCCGACGGACCACUUGUGAGCCACAAUCUCACCCUGCUUAGGCUAAGUUUGUGCCCAUAUUGAAUGAUUAGGCCCAAUCAUCUUCGUUCAUGAUUGUCAAGAGAGAUUGUACUAAAUGUGAAUAAUAUCGAAAUUAUAACUUAUCAUGAAUAAUAUCGAGAUUGGUUCUAGAGGUCAUCUUUUGUGGAGGACCUUGCUCAUUGGUGAGGUGAUUUUUAGUAUCUUCAAAUCCUUUUUUUCCAAGUAUGUUUGAUAUAUUUGCUCAAUUGUUAUAUGAUUCGGACAUAAAGAUGAAAAAUGAAUAUAUUUAUAUUAUGUUUGGUUCCCAUAAAAUAUUAAGAAAAUAAAAAAAAUUUAAGAAAAAUGAUUUUAUCAUAUUUAGUUUUUUUAUAAAAAUACGAAAGAAAGUUAAACAUAAUUAAAAUUAUUAAAAAUUUUGUAUAUUUUUAAAUUAUUUAAUCUUUAUAUAAAAGAGUUAAAUAAAUAUAAAAAAGUUUGAAAUAGUAUAUAAAAAUAAUUUAUUUAUUUUAAAUCUAUUUUUUAUUUUCUUUCACUUUCUCUUUCCUUUUACUUUUUUCCUCUUUAUUUUCUUUAUUUUAUAUUUUUCCUCAAACUUUCCGAGAACCAAACAUAGCAUUAGGAUAUUAAUUAGGACCUGAUCAUCCCAAAUCUUAAGGUCAAAUUCUACUAAAAAUGUUAUUGAAAAAAAUAUUGAUUUAAAGAUUUGGUGAAUCAUCAUUUAACAAAACUUAUAGAUACCUAUUUCAUAAUCCCCUUCUAAAAAUAAAAAAUAAAAAAAGGGUUUUAUGGGCCUUGGUUGUGGGCCAUUUUGAAGUCAUAUGGGCUCCAACCCACCUGCUAGGGUUUGGUGGGCUGAAUUAUGAUUUGGAGAGCACACUUUUCAACCAUACUCAAAAUGCACCUUCUGCCUUACUUGCAACUUUUUAUGUUUUUUUUUUUUUUUAAGACAAGUUGAUGACUUAUAUUUUAAUUUUACAUCUGAAAACAAACAAAAUGGGCCUUUAAAACUCAAGCCCACCUUCAACUCCACCCUAGUUUUUAAAUAAAAUCCCAAAUCCCUCCUGGCCCAAAUACACCUCCCCAAAAUGUGUUCAUUUCUUCAAAAUUACUUGCUCAUUAUUAUCAUCUAUAAAAAAGAGCUAUGAUUAGUUGGUGGAAAGUUUGAGGAAAAAAAGGGAAAAAAUAUUGAGAAAAAAUGGAAGGACAGAAAAACUAAAAAAAAAUUAAAAAAAUCCAUAAAACAUUUAUUUUGGUUAAAAAAAAAUAUUUUUCUUCUUGAAAAGGAAAAUCUUUAAACAUUUUUUUAAAUAUUAUUUUCUCCCUUUUAUGGUAUAUAUAUAUAUAUAUAUAUAUAUAUAUAUAUAUAUAUAUAUAUAAAUCAUUUUUCUUAACUAUUUUUUCUCUUUAGUAAUAUUUUCUAAGGUGAUGUUUGCUUUUCUUUUUUGCUUAAUCCUAAAUAUAACUUAAAACUAAAUAAUAUUUAAUAAUAUUAAGUAUUCAGUUGUUGUUUUUUUAUAUUUUAUCUUUAUUAAGUAUUAAGAAAUAAGGAAAUAUCAAAAGAUUAUUUUUAACAUUAAUUAAUAUUUUGUAUUUUUUAUUUAGUCAAAUAAUUUAAUAAAUAAGUGAUAAGUUAACAAAAAAAAGUAAAAAAAAAAAUUCUAAAGUCUAAAAAUAAGUUACUUUCAAUAAAAAGUUAAAAAAAAAAAAAAAACAACCCAUAAGUAAAAUUACCAUGAAAAAAAGCAACAAUAAUUAGUACAACUUUUGGUGAGAAGAAAAAACAUAAAGAAUAUGCUUUAUGUUAAAUCUUCUUUCAUUUGGAAACAUUUUCACAAGCCAUGAUCAAAUGUAGUGAAAAAGCACUUUAAGACAAAGACUUAAAAAGAACAAAUCAACCACCCAACUAAAAUGGAUCUUGUCCUUCUUGCCAUAGAUCAUGUAGCCACAUUUCUUAGGUAAAAGAAACAAAUAAUAAUUUAGCUCAAUCAAUCCAAUAGAGGCUUAAUUUCAACCACUAUUGAUCAUGUUACUUUCUAUCUCUUUCAUUUUUCCCUUCUCUCACAUCAAUAUUCCCCAAAUAUUCAGCUGUUUCAUAUCACACUUUAGUGUAAAAGUUAAAAAAAAAAAAUUAGUAAGAUUCUUGGCUAAAAAAAAAAAAAGGUAGUAGCAUUAGCUAAUGCUAAUUGCUACCACACCCUCUAUUUGCUAAUUGCUAGACCAACCAUCUUGUUUCCCUCCACUUGGAUCAUUGUGUUACCAAAUAGUGACCAAUUUUUUAAUUCUUUAUGGGGCAAUUUUGUGUUGAUGUUUAGUUAAUGUUUGGUUAUUUAAAGUUGAUGAAAAGAAAAUUAAAAAAAAAUAAUAUUGUUUAUAAAAAGAUUUAUAAAAAAUGAAAGAACGAAAAUUGAUAUAUAAAAAAAAUACUUAUUUGUGUCAAAGAAUUUUUGUUUAUUUUUAUGUAAAUUAAUCACUUUUUGUAAGAUCUAAUUAUCAUCUCCUAUAUAAGUUUAAGGAAGCGUAGUGAUAUCCAUAAAAUAAAAGAUCCAAAUAAUUAAAAUAUGUAUAGUGAGAUUUUUGUCAUUGAAUGAUGAUAUAAACAAAUUAUAUUAAGGUGAAAGAAUAUAAAUAAAUGAAAUUAAUGUAUAAAUAAUGAGACUUGAAAAUAUAUACAUGACAUCACCCGAUUGAUGGUAACUUUUGGAUAGGUACAAAAAAAAAAAGAGUGCAUUUUUGUAUUGUAGUAGACCUAAUUUUUAUUAUAUAUAGAUUAUAAAUUAAGAUAAGCAUGUAGUUUAAGAUUUGGUUAAAAAUGAUAAAAUUAAUAAUUAAAUUUAAUGUAAAAAAAAGUCUAAUUUUUUUCAAAGAAGUUAAAAUAUGUUUCCUUAUUGAUUUUUUACUUUCCAACUUUAUUGGAUUUCUUAUUCCAUUCUAAGUAGGGUUUUGUGAAUAGUAAAGCCAAAGAAAUUAGAGAAAAGCCUGUUUUCACACAAUCAUUUGAAAAAAUUCAUAGAUAUGAACUCAAGUUUAUAAAAUCCAAAUUUCAUAUAUCUAUCUAAAAAUAAUUAAGAUUUUGUGCAUUUUUCUAUCAAAUAUACUACAUUUGAUCAUUCAAGUUUUUCCUUUUAAUGAUUUAUUUUGAUCAUCAAAAGUGCUAUCUCUAAUCCAUGAGUGCGAGAAUUUUAAAUUAUUUUUAAAGAUUUCUUAUUUUAUGUUAUGUUUUUUCAAAUGAAUGCGUGGAAACAUACUUUUUCAAAAUAAAUAAAUUGUUUUGUCAUCUCUAUACUCUAAAAAAUCUUUUGACUUGAAAACUUGAAAGUCCUAUUAGUAGAAAGCUAGUGGUGGAUGCGACAAUAAAGUAUAAAUACUAGCCAUAAUAAGUUUGUUGGGAGAAGGUUGUAGGUUACGUAAAUUUAUAUACUUUUCGUAUUUAAUGGAUUUGUUUUGCAUUGAUGGGGAUAUAUGAAAGAUUUUGGUAAUUUCUAUAUAUAUCUUGUGUUUCGAUUAUUGUGAUUAGAAUUUUAUAUUUUUGAACAUUAAUAUUAAACAAGUUGAUUGUAAUAAUAAUGCAUAAAAUCAUAUUUAGGGUUAAUAUAUAAUUUCAUAUUCUUGGAUUUCCCCAAAAUUAAAUUAAUAAAUUAGAAAAUCUGAAACUCGAGCUUUGGACCAUAUAAUUGGACAACCUAUUCACUUCUCUCCAGUAGUUUCCAUGGAUUAAGAAUGUACUUUCACACACACUCUUGAGCUUAAGAAAAAAAACUUACUAGAUAAAAUGAAAUAUCUCGACUCUGAAUGUAAAGUAUCCUUGAAAAGGGCGAUGCUAUUCUUUUAAAAUUUUAAGAUUGAAAAAGUACUUACCUUAUAAGUUAGAAGGAAGAAAUACGUCCAAGUAUUAAAUUGUUAAAUAAUUUAAUAAAUAUGUGUAAGUCUUCCAAUGAUAAGAGAGACUUAGGAUAUCUUGAUGGAUCCAUCACUCCCACCAGUAGAAAAAUAACUAUAUUAAGGCUAAAAAGAUAAUUUCAAUUGUGCAAACACUUGUUAAGUUUUUGUCACCAUCACGUAUACAUGUUCAUUUUGUCAUUGUAAUGAUCAUUCUAGUGAUAGGUGCCACAUUAGGAAGUUUGAAAAGUUUCAUAGGCAAAUUAUCAAGUUUUUUAUUAUGUCAAAAGCAUUAAGUGAAAGAAUCCUAUUUAAUGGGGAAAAAAAAAAUCACCGGGUUUCUAAAGCUUCAACCCAAGUUAAGCUUAUGUUGAAUAUUCACGAUGCUUAUAUUGAUAUUUUAAAUUCAUUUUCUAAAAUUAUCAAGAUUAAACAAGUUUAUAUUAGAAAAGAUUAUACGAGGGAACUAUACUCAAGUUGAUUGAGAAAUAAUUUAAGUAGACGCUAAAAUGAAUCAUAGUAGUUAAACAAUAAGUCAAUUGCUUUAAAAAUGGUGAUACUAGUUUGAUUUUAUGACAAUUUUUAGUAUUAAAGGGACAAAAUAUCCACUUUAUUCUUCAUGUUGAAAUCAUAUCUAAAAAUUAUUUAAAUAACAAAUUUAGGGAUAGUUCGACAUGUUAUAGUUAAAUGACCAACAAUAUAUUGUGUUAGACAAAAAUACGAGGGAAGUAUACUUAAAUUGAUUGAGAAAUAGUUUAACUAAGAACUUGACAUUAUCUAAUGGAUAACUUGGGAUACUAAUAUGAAUCAUAUUAAUUAUAGUACAUCAUUGACACUAGUUUGAUUUUAUAAUUGUGAUGUCCUACAUCGGAUAUGGGAUAAAGUUUAUAAUGCUAAUAAAUAUGAUUUUUUUUUAAUCUUGUGAAUACAUUUUAAAAUUAUGAGAUUUAAAAUGUUAAAUAAUUUAAUAAAUAUGUGUAAGUCUUCCGAUGAUAAGAGAGACUUAGGAUAUCUUGAUGGAUCCAUCACUCCCACUAGUAGAAAAAUAACUACACUAAGGCUAAAAAGAUAAUUUCAAUUGUGCAAACACUCGUUAAUGUCACAUAUACGUGUUCAUUUUGUCAUUGUAAUAAUCAUUCUAGUGAUAGGUGCCACAUUAGGAAGUUUGAAAAGUUUCAUAGGCAAAUUAUCAAGUUUUUUUAUUAUGCCAAAUGCAUUGAGUGAAAGAAUCCUAUUUAAUGGGAAAAAAAAAAAAUCACCGGGUUUCUAAAGCUUCAACCCAAGGUAAGCUUAUGUUGAAUAUUCAUGAUCCUUAUAUUGAUAUUUUAAAUUCAUUUUCUAAAAUUAUUAAGAUUAGACAAGUUUAUAUUAAAAAAGAUUAUACAAGAGAACUAUACUCAAGUUGAUUGAGAAAUAAUUUAAGUAAACGCUAAAAUGAAUUAUAGUAGUUAGACAGUAAGUCAAUUGCUUUAAAAAUGGUGACACUAGUUUGAUUUUAUGACAAUUUUUAGUAUUAAAGGGACAAAAUAUCCAUUUUAUUCUUCAUGUUGAAAUCAUAUCUAAAAAUUAUUUAAAUAGAAAAUUUAGGGAAUAGUUCAACAUGUUAUACUUAAAUGACCAACAAUAUAUCAUGUUAGACAAAAUAUACGGGGGAACUAUACUUAAAUUAAUUGAGAAAUAGUUUAACUAAAAAGUUGACAUUAUCUAAUGGAUGACUUGGGAUACUAAUAUGAAUCAUAUUAAUCACUUAGUACAUCGGUGACACUAGUUUGAUUUUAUGAUUGUGAUGUCCUAUAACGGAUAUAAGAUAAAGUUCAUAAUACUAAUAAAUAUGAAAUUUUUUUAAUCUUGUAAAUACAUUUUAAAAUUAUGAAAAUCUCGUUUAUACUUAAAAUGAACAAUAUCUACAUAUUGAUAUGGGCAGUGUAUUUUAUUUAUUUAUUGGAUUAUAGAUUAUUUUAAAUGGAUUUAUUUUUAUAGUUGAAAUUAAUUACAAAAUGAAUGAAUUAAUUACAAAUUGUACUAUCUAGGUGGACAGUUAGGUGGAUGAGUUUUCAUUUAAAAUAUAAAAUUUUUUGUUUAUGCUUUCAACUUUUAUUAACGGUAAUAAAUAUAUUUUCAAAUUUUAAUUUUGAUCCUUGUUUUUUAAAAAAUAAAAAAUAAAAAACACCCACCAACAAUCGUCUGUAGCGGUGGUGCACUGUUAGAAAAGAAGAACGAGGCAACGGGGGGUCGAUGUUCCACUUCCACAAUGCUUCAAAUUCUCGAAAUGGGUCAACAAAUUCAUCAUCAAUUGAGUGGCCCCACUUAUUCCAAUCCGAAGGCCAAGUCACGUCCGAAUAAUCGAGUCCCGACAACCUCCAACCACGUGGUCGGUAUGUUGCUCACCACGUGGAUUACCAGCAUUGGAGGGGCAUCCCGCAUGUGGAUCCGCCAUCUAGGUGGGGUCCAUAAGUGGGCCAGGGCGCACCGCCCAGAACCAUAGGCCAUCCUUUUCCCGCUUUACAGAGCAUAGAAACAAGGACUGGGGUCUUGCCUAUAUAGAAAGUGGGGCCAAUAAUGGCUUUCUCACGGAUCUCGAGGCAUAAUCAGGUGCCUGCUAGCGUACGAAGUUUUCCCGUCACUUUCUUGGGAUGCACAAUUGCAUUACACUACUCAAGGUCAUGCCUUUCUACUUAAAUAUUUAUUUGAUUCCUUUUUAAGUUUUUUUUUUCUUUCUUAGAGCAAUAUUGUUAUAUCCCAACACAAUGUGCCACAUGUACAUUUUUGUAUCAUUACUUUAUACAUGCUAUUUUGUACUUAAAUAUUUUUUUAAAAAACACAUACAUUAAAAAUAUUUCAAAUAAAAACACUUUGGAAUUCACUCUUAAAUCAACAUUAUUUUUAUUUAAAGUAUUUUUAGUAGAAUUCUUUUUUCUAAAAAUAUUUUUAAUACUAUAAAUGAUUUUUAAAAAAAUUAAAAUAUUUAAUUUUUUUUUCAAAUGCUUUUUUUUAAAUAGGCUCUAAAUGCUUCAACCCAAUGCUGAACAAAAAUAACAAAAAAUAAAUAAAUAAAUUGUGGAACAAUAUUCCUUGAUAUGAUAUUUAUCUUUAGCUGAAAUUGGGGAAAGGCAAGUGAAAAUUUGUAAAGAUAGUACACAAAAGGGGGGGCAUGGUGGGAUGGCACAGGGGGCAAAGAAAGUGGGGCCUGAGUCAGUAGCGUCACGUCUGUUAAUCCCCUCCCAAACAAAACCCCGUUUCUCACGUAGGAUUCAGUCACACCACCUUCCACGUCAUCCCUCGUUAUUUUCUUCCAAUUCAUUAUAUCGUCUGCCCAUGUCGGAUUCUUAUUUUUCCAUGUCUAUAUAAUGAGGGGCGCUUCUCCCUUAUAUCGUAUAUGCAAAAUCCUCCAAAAAUAAUUUAAUCUCAUUCUUUUAUAUUCAACUUGAGUAUAAGAAUAAUGAUGACUAAUCACAUUUAUAAUUUAGUAAUAAUGCUUAUUUGUAAUUUGGUUCCAUGUAUUUAUAUAUAUAUAUAUAUUUUUAAUUUCCUAAAAUUUAUUAUGGUUAUGUUUGUUCCCGAAAAAUACUAAGAAAAGAAAAAAAAUAUAAAGGAAAAUGAUUUUUUAAUGUUUGGUUGUUUUAUGAAAAAUAUAAAAUAAAAUCAAAUAUAAUUAAAACUUAUGUAUUUUUAAAUUAUUUAAUUUUUAUAUUGAUGAAUUAAAAUAAAUAAAAUGAGUUUGAAGUAACAAAAAAAAAAUAAUUUAUCGAUUUUUAACAUAUUUUUUUUAUUUUUCUUUGCAUUUUAUUUCCCUUGCAUUUUUCCUCAAAUUUUUUGGAAAUCAAACAUAGUCUAUAUCUUUUCAAUUAUGGUAUGUUUGAUUUAUGAAAAUUUUGAGAGAAAAUGUAUGAAAAAAAUAAAAAGUAAAAGAAAAAAUAAAAAAUAUAUUAAAAAUCAAAUAAAUUAUUUUUAUUUGUUAUUUUAAACUUAUUUUAAUUUAUUGAUAUAAAAAUUAAAUAAUUUUAAAAUACAUAAAUUUUUUACUAAUUUUAAUUAUAUUUAAUUUCAUUUGAUAUUUUUCACAACAAUCAAAUAUGAGAAAAUUAUUUUUCUUUAUCUUUUUUAGUAUUUUUCCGAACCAAACAUAAUUGAAAAUUAUUUCAUAACGAUAGUGGAGUACAAUAAAUAUAAAUAUUUUUUUAAAUAUUUAAUAAGUAUUUGUCAUGACUCAUGACAAUGUUGAUGUUGAUUGAAAAAUUAAUAUAAAAUUUUUAAUAAUAUUAGCUCUUACUAAAAGUUUUUCUUAUCUUAUACGAGAGGUUCCGUGAUGAUGAUGAAGAAUAAAAAGUUAAGAUUUUUUAUUUAAAGCCCCGGCAUAAGUUGAGUCCAAUGAUGAAAAGUUUUACAAAAUUUGAGCUUAUAUUAAAUAUUCUUUUAAGUUUUUUUUAAUCUUAUCACUUUAGUUAAUGAGAAAUUUCCAGGAAAAAUAGCAAAAAAGGAAAAAAUAUAUAUUUAAAUUUAAUAAAUUAUAUAUAUGUGUGUGUAAGUUAAACUUAUUUAAUUUAUUUUAAUUAUUUUAUAUAAAAAUUUAAAAAUAUAUAAUUAACUAAUUUUAUUUAGAUUUAAUUUUUUUGAUUUACAUGAUUAAGAAAAACUUGUUAUCUAGUGUUAAAGGCUAGUGGGUUAAUCCGUGGGCACUAACUAUUGAUCAAACUCUUAUUCGAAUUUGAAGGUCUCGGGGAAUCCCGUGCUCAGGAAUUUCACCUUCGCACACCUUGGAUAGUUCUUUGAUCAUGUGAUCGGAUUUGAAUCGGAGGUCUUGAUAAGUUUUUUCCAUACUCGUCUCAUCCUAUCCCUAAUAUUAUGAGUUUGGGAUAAAUAUAAGGUGGGUUUGAGAAUUUUUUUUAGAACUUGGAAUGAGUUUAGGACAGGAUAGGGUUUCACUUUAUUUCUUCGAUCUCACCUCGAUUAUAUGUAAUAAUAUAUAAAAAAUUAUUUUAAUUGAUUUUUUUUAUUUUUCAAAAUUUCAAAAUAUAUAAAAUAUUAAAUUUUAUAAAAAUGAAUUAUAAAUAUUUAUAAUAUUUAUUAAUUUAUAAAUUAUAUUUAUUUUUAAUAUAAUUUAAAAUUUUAAAAGUAAAAAAGUAAAAAAUUGAAUAAAAAAAUAAAAGGGUUAAACGAGUAAGGUGGAAAUGAGAACUUCUAAUACUUGUCCCGUUUCAUUUGUUUUUUUUUCUUUCUCCUCAUAAAAAUAAAUAUAAAUAAAUGACACGAAAUUGGAAUGAGGUGAUCUAUAUUGAAAUUAAACCGAUGCCAUUCUUACUUGCUCUUGAGUGGCUAUCACAAAAAUAAGGAAUUUCGAGUGAACUAAAUCAAAAGAAGAUGAUAGCUUAUAUUGAAGAAUGAAUGAAUCAAAUAAAAAAAUACAAUCAUUAACCUCAUCUUCAACACUUCAAUUUUUCUUCAUCAUCAUUGCCCUGCAUGCUCAAACUUCAUAUAUGUAAAUAAAACAUUUUUUUUAUAGAAAAAAUAUGAAAAAUGAGAUUUAUUUAUUUGACAAAACACUUUGAGAACAUAAAAUUUUUAGAAAAAUUGGUUAACAGAGCUUUUCCUUUUGAGUUCUCCCCAAAAGUUCUACCAAUAAAAAGUAAUCUACAUUUUAGCUAAAUGUACUGCUCUUUUCUUAUGUGUGAAAAUGGUUAGAAGGCCAACCAAAAAGUCACGUUAAAGUGAGGUAAGUAGUCAUGGAGACAGGUGGGGAUGUGAAAUUCCCAAGAAUUCCCUUGGGGAACCCCACCUCUUUCUCUUCAAGUUGAGCACCCUCCAGCUCUAUAUAAGGCUCCUUUGUUCAUCAUCUCUCUUCACCUCAUUCUUCAUUUCUUUCCCUACUACCUUACUUGUCUUCUUUGCUUUCUUUUCUUUUGAUCUUCUUCUUUCUUAAUUUUUCGUUCUAUUAAUUUCACUUUCCAUGGCCACUGCUGAGGUAAUCCAGCUUUGUAACUUGACCUUUGAUUAAUUUGUAUAGAAUCCAUCUUUAUGUGAUUUGGUCUUCUUUGAGGUGCAGUGUUCAUCAAAAAACUUUUCCAGUGUCUGUUUGUUUCCUUUUCCGUUUCCUAGCAGGGAAAUUUUUUUGGCAACCAUAUCAUCUUGUUCAGUGAUUGAUCUCAAACAACUGCUAUCGAAACUUGUUAGAUAUAUGAACGAAGUUCAUGAUCCAAAGUUUGUUAUAUUUGGAAAUCAAAGAGCGUUGUAAAAAGGGUUUUAAGAGUAACAUGUGUAGCAGAAAGAUUGAUCUUCAGAAGAAAAAACAGAUAGUUUUCUUAAUUGAAAUGAAAAAAUGAAUAGAUGUGUGGGGGAUUCAAUCCAUAUGCAACUUCAUGGCAGUGUCUUGAUCAUGAUUAAUAUAAAUUAUUUUGAUUCUUCAUCUUUGUGUCUAUAUAUUAUUCAUAGUUUCAAUUAGUAUUUCAGUAAUCAUCUGGUAGUUUGAUGGUUUAAUCCCACAGGUUGUAUCUGCGACACCAGCACUUUCAGAGGAGAAAACUGAAGAAUCAGUUAAGGCAGAAGAGACUCCUGUGGAAGAGGUGGCGGCCGCACCACCUACACCAGAGCCUGUUGCUGAGGAGCCAAAGGAAGCAGAAACUGCAGCUGUGCCCGAGGAAUCUGCGGCUCCAGAAGCUGAAGCCCCUGCUGAUCAGGAUGAGACCAAGGAGGUGGUAGAACAAGUUGAGGUUGAGACCAAGGAGGUGGUGGAAAAAACUGAUCAGGCUGUGGUGGAAGAACCAGCGGUAGAGAAGACAGAAGAGGUCCCAGAGGAGACUCCUGAUCAGGAAACAAACAGCCCAGUUGUGGAGGAAACCAAAGAAGCUACAGAACCAGCUGAGGAACCAGCACCAAAACCAGAACCAGCACCUGCAGAUGAAGCUCCAAAAGAAGAAGGUCCUGCUGCAGAAGAAGAAGAGAAACCAGCUGAAGCUAAAGUGAAAGUUGAGACAGAUGAGAAGGCUGAGUGAUGAGUCUAUGAGUGUAUGGCCGAGUGAAAUUAAAAGUUUGUGUGAUGAGGGGUCUGCUAGGUUGCAUGUCUAGUUAAAGGAGUAUUAAUUUUCUUAGUAUAAU
rnacentral:lncRNA from 1 species